UUUCUUUUUUUUUUUUUUUUUUGUCGGAGACGAUAAACCUAAUUUAUCCUACACUAAGGGGAAGGGGGCGAGCCUAAGGAGGUUCAGGAAUAAGUCGGAGGGGACUGAACCACCAUCGGACUAGAUGGGUGCACAGCACACCCGUCUGAAUUUUUUGAAGACAAGCCAUAGAAAUGUGACAUUUUUUAUAGGAGGCAAGGUUUCGAACUUUGUCUCCCAUCCCACCAAGUAGGAGGUGCCCAUUGAGCCAAAGACGGGUGCAAAGCACACCCGCCUUGAGAUAUCUUCUCAAUGUCUACGAAUUUGUAUAGUUUGUCACAACUAACAUUGAGUUGAGAUCCUCUUUAGUUUUUUUUUUGGUAUUAUUUCUUUCAUAAAGAAGAGUCAAGGGAGUGACAUUACUUUAAGUUAGUUUAGCUCUAAGAACAAAUCGAGGGACUAAUUUAGUUAAAUUAAUUCGCAAAAAGGUUAUGCAAUUGACUGCAUUUGAAUCAAUUUUAAAACUAAUGAGGGGGAUUGAUGUUGUAGCUUUUGUAACAAUAGGGGUGCAAAGUGGGAUAGGGAGAUAGUUGAUGGGGGUUUACAAUAUUUUACCUUAAAAAAGGCAGUGAAAUUGCCAUUAUAAAUUUUGGAGCUAAAUUGGCAAAGGGCAAAAAUAAAAAAUAAAAAGCCGUGAAAAAGAGAGUUGCAGAAGAUGCGAGCAGCAGAAGAGGGAACUCCCCCAAACAGGGAGAGUUAACAGAGUAGUGACGGAAAAGUAAACGACCAAACCAAAUCCCAGAACCCCCGCCUAAAUCCCUAACCUUCGAAGAAGAAAGAAGAAGUAGAAACCCCAAAACACUGAACAAAGGAACAAUGGUAUACUUUUCUGGUUUCACCAUUCGUUUUCUUCAGUUUUUUUCUCCCGACAAUGGAAAUUCUGCGUUUCUAGUUUCUCAAGAUUUUUUUUUUGAAUUUUUGGAAUUUCAGUUUUCAAUUGCAGCAAUUAACGAUACAGACUCGAAAAAGCAGUGGGAACCUCUUGCUCCCACUAAAGAAGCCCAGGUAAGAUUUUACUUCCUACUAUGUCCUUCCAUUCAGCUAUUGUUGUCAUCUUAAAAUUUACUUUAUGGGGUUCAGUGUUGUUGUUGUUGUUUUUUUUGGUUCUUUACAGUUUGAAAUAUUGCAGAUUCUUAGUCAGUCUUGGUGGUAUGGCUACGAUAUGCAAUAUGUUUACUGUUUAGGUAGUUUUUUGUGGGCAUAGUGGGAGCUAAACGUAAUCAAUCAAGAACAAAGAAAAAAGUGCAACUGAAACCCUUUCCGCAUUCUAUUAACAAGAACUGAAGUGGGAUCUCGAUGUUCAAAAAGCUUGUAAUCCCUCGUUCUCUAUUUCAGUCGGUUUUGGCCAGUUCACCUGUUUGGUUUCUGUUUAUGAUAGAAAGAAGUCGCAAUACGCGUGCAUACACGCAAAAGCUGUUGUUCACUCUUUGGGAGCUGGUUUUGAGUUGCGAGGACAAAUGAUGAGAUUCAACUGUCUUAUGGUGGUUUAUGGGCGUUUUGGUGGUUGAGGGUGGAGGAAAUGAUAGUGCAUUGGUGUGCCAGUGGUAGAGUUUUGAUUUGGUUCAGGAAACCUGUUUUGCCAUGGAUAGGGCUGACUUGUAUUUGAUUGUAAACAACUAUCUAGCUUGACCUUGAUAUUGAGAAUUUUGGAUUUGAUUGGGCUGUUAUUAGGCAUCUUUUUGGUCCAUUUUAUGCUCAACUGGGUUUUAGGUGGCUCAUUGAGUGGGUUAACAUUUGGAAUUUGGAGGUGAUUUGGCAUAGGAAGUGGUAUAGUUGCCAAAUCACAGAUUACUAACAUAGAAGAGGGCUUGGGAAGAGGUAUUUGAAUAGUCGAGGUGGGAAGAGUAGAUACAGAUUUUGAAAUGUAAAGUCCUAGGAAAUUAGGAAGGUCUUGGAAAAAAACUUUAUGCUGUUUCAUCCUUGGUGUGCUAGAGGCAGUUUUUGGGUGUCAUUAAACGUAAGGAAAUCAGAUAGCUCGGAUGAGAAUCAAGGAAAAAUAUUGCAUCUGAAUUCUUUGCAUGUUAAGGAGGCUGGAAUUCUAUUCUAACUGCGUAGUUGAGGCAGCCUUUUAUGAGCAAAUCUCUUGUUGGCUGUGAUUGUGUUCGUAAUUCAUGUGCUUUGAUUGCUUGUUCUAGCAUUGUCAUGGUUAACAGGUGCCUCUUUACUUCAAAACAAGAUAAUGAAGAUUAAUUGUGGUCAGUUUAUGCUUACCACCUUACUAGCAACACUUUUUCCAUCUCAAGUUUAUCCUAUGGCUAGUCUGCGAAUAGCAGUUUCUUCAAUCCGUGAAUAUUUAAGUUUCUACUGAGAAGUCGUCUAUAAAAGUUUUACUUUGCACCACUUUUGGUCCUAAUCGUUUUGCCCUUAAUUCUUUUGCCCCAGUAAGCUAAAUCAGAAUUCUUAAAUAUGCAGUACACGAAAAAUUUCAAGCACUGACCCACCUACUAUCUGCAUGCUUGGAGAUACUAAUAUUUACAACAAGACAACUGAUGAUAUCUAAAGAAGGACAGAAAUUUGAAUUCCAGGAGAUAAUACCAUAGCAGAAACCAAGAGCAUAGUUUAACAGUCCGAUAGCAAUUUGAUAGAGCACUGAGUAGAAAGAGUGACAUACUAAUUGUUUGUUAAAUAAACAAGUAGGAUGAUGAUAAAUAAGACAACAUGAAAUGACCUGGGCUAGUACAUGCUUAAGUGUGGUUGCAUCGAGAACGCACACUAAUAUAAAGUUGAACAGGAAAAAUGACUAUUAUAGCUUCUAUAGCAAGCACAGUAGCAAUGAGUUGUUUAUGGAGUAGAAUUCAAAAUUAAUCUCAUUUUCUUGAUAUUUUAUGAACAACAUUUUCCAAAUGGGAAGAUAUCCAAAUUUUUAUGAUGCUUCACCUACCAUCUGUUUAAAUGUUUAUGUGCAUAGCUAUUUUUGGAUAAAUUGACUUGUAUGAUUUCAGGAAUUUCAUCUAUCACAAAUUUAUCAUGAAGGGCUUGCAAAAUUGCAAGCUAAAGACUACAAAAAGGCUCGUGAACUUUUGGAGUCUGUUCUAAAAGAUCCUAUGGUAUCAAGUGCUCAGGUAGUUUAUGUUCUUUGUUAACUUCUUGGUGUUUCAAAAUUUUAUUGCUUCAUCUAUUUGAUCCUUGCUCACUCCAUUUCUUAUCUUGUAGGUGGACAAUAAUGUUAGUGAUGGUCAUCUUUUACAGCUCAGGUUUGGGUUGAAGCAAAAUUCUUAGAAACAGAUGUUUUACUUAUUGUCUUUUUAAUUUUUGACUUAUGCACUCACAGUUCAUGAAGUUGCUUUCUUAAUAAUGUCCAUGGCAUGCUAUGGGUGAAUGUUAGUGAUAUGAUUUAUAUUACCAUGUCGACUUCAGAUCAACAAUGCCUUUUCCUGUGAAAAAAUGAACACUUAGGCUCAUCUGCAAUAAAAGUCAUUUCCAAAAUGUUAGCAUCUUUUUUUUCUGGAUGUGUGUCAACAGUGAAAGAGUCGAAAGAACAAUAACUAAAUGGUGGCUUUAUUAACCGGCUUUUUUGAACCACCCUUUGGUUUUCUUUGAAGCUUGUCCAUUGAUGUUGAUGUGAAAAUUGUUUACCUUGUGAAAUUAGUCAAUGACUUUAUGCUUCCUGGCGUACAGUCUGUUGGAAAUGUGCAAUUUGACAAAUAGGGUGGUUUUUAGAAAAUUUAAGACAUUGAAAACUGAAUGGUGCUUCCAGUUCCCCCAGAUUGUAUAAAAUAUUUGAGAUCAUAAGGUUAUUGAAGUAUUUGAAUGUUAAUCUGAUUCAAAUCUUGCUUGACAUAUUUGCGGUGCAUACGCAGCUUAAGGUCAGAUAGCUGUAUGAUCAUGCGGAUGAUUUUUUGUGUGUCUGACAUGAACGAAAUAGUAUAACGAGCCUGUUUAUUUUCUGUUAACCAUCCUUCUUCUAUAUAAUUCCACCCACAUGGUUAUUAUAUUUUGCCAUGAUCAUGAUUCAUUAUGAUUUUGUUCCAUACUUUGAAGUAUAAGUAAAUACUUGUAUGGUUCACAUUCCAAAUUAUUUUGGAUUUCGUACUCAACAAAUUAAGUUUUCAGAUAAGUUGAAAUCAUAAUGGUUAAUAGAAAUCAUUUUCAACCUUUUCCUUUUCUGAAAUAGUUUACAAUUGAAAUGCCACCAUAAGGGAGUCUUACAAAAUGCUUAUAGUGUUUCUAUGUGGUAUUUUUUCACAUGGACAGUUCUUCACUUUCUUCUCCUUGGUGGCAUCUUAAGUGAUCCCGUCAUUGUAGGAUGAUCUUAAAACUAGAGAAGGGUUAGUCACAUGCUAUUCUACUUUUGCGCAUCAUGCAAAGGAUUAGGAGUAUUAUUUUCUUGGAUGGAGAGCUUUUUUUAUUGACUGGAUAAGUUCACUCCCUAUUUUGUGCAAACAACAACGGUAUCCGCUUCUUUAAAUGAAAAUUUCCCCCUCUCUGUUAUUGCCAUGAAAUAAUGUUUCAGAAAUGGAGGCACUUGGACCAAACUUUACAAUUUAUUUGAACAUCCGGGAAUUGAUGCACAUGGAAAAGAUACAACCAUCUUUUUCCAGCUAGGGAAAAGUUAAAAAGCAUUUAAAUGUGCAUAUUUUUUGGUGUUACCAAAUUGUUGUACCUGAAAUUUAAGGAGUUCUAGCCUUCAUUAACUAUUUUCCUUUAUGUACUGUGUACUGGUUUUCAUAAGAGUUCAUCCUUACAAAACAAAGUAACUAUAUAUAAGAGGCAUUAGUCGACAAUGGAACUUAAUAUGCUGUUUCUUUUCUUAUAGGUUUGUGGAACUUGUCGCCAUUGUUGUGAGGUUUGAGAUGGACAAAUUUUUGGUGUCCGUUGACCAUACAUAACUCUAAUAUUAUCUUUUCUGGAGGAGAAAAAAUCAGCACAGUAGUAAAGAUUAACAUUGAUUCUUCUUAAACAAGGGAGUAGAAUGUUUAAUUUUUUCUUUUGCAGAUUUUUGGUGCUGAAGAACCUUGCUACCGUUUUUCUUCAACAAGGUCCUACUUUUUAUGAGAAUGCUCUACAGUGCUAUCUUCAAGCUGUGGAGAUUGAUAACAAAGAUUCAGUUGUCUGGAACCAGCUAGGAACACUAUCCUGCUCAAUGGGACUUCUAAGUAUUUCGCGUUGGGCAUUUGAACAAGGACUAUUUUGCAGUCCCAACAAUUGUAAGCAUUUUGUGAGUUUUCUUGGGUAACUUCUGGGAAAUUCUGUAGUUCUCAGUAUCAUUUGCAUUCCAUGACUUAAGCAAUUUAAUAGCCAUGUAAUCAAUCCCUCAACUGUUGCUAUAAAUCAAUUCAUUUGCUUUUCUUUGACAACAUAAAUGCAGGGAAUUGCAUGGAAAAACUUUUAGAAGUUCUCAUUGCUAUUGGGGAUGAGGUUGCCUGUCUUUCUGUGGCUGAAUUAAUACUGAGGCAUUGGCCAUCUCAUUCACGUGCUUUGCAUGUCAAAACUACAAUUGAAGGGUCUGAACCCAUUCCAUUUGCUCCAAGAGGGAUAGACAGACUGGAACCAAAACAUAUCCGGUUGAAAUUUCCUGAAAAGAGAAAGGCAGAAAAUGAUGACCUGAUAGAUGGUGCCCCAUCAAAAAAGCUAAAGCAGACUAUAGAAGUUCAGCUUUCAGAACCUUCAUGGACUGCUCUUGCUGGUGAGCUUCUGCAGCUGUUAAAUUCGUUUGUUUCAGCUAGUCCUGAUCAGGAAAGAGGGCAAUAUAAAUCUGGGGAUGUUAGCUUAAGCAUACGGUUGCCUCACACUUCUGGAAGUGGCAUGGAGACCCUGGAAAGCAAAGGAUCUAUGUUGACCACAUCCAGUGAAGAUAUGCCGUUUGCUAAUUGCAAUUUUGAGAAAAAUUCUCACACUAAGGAAAAGGAAGCAAAUGUGUCUGAGGAACAACCUCAAGAAAGGCGAAGUAGUCGCAUUGAGAGGCUUAGGAGUCGUAAACCAGGGAAAGAGGAUUCAGAUUUUGGCACCACAAGGGAUCUAGCUAAAGUCAUAGUGCAAUUUCUAAGACCUUUUAUUGCAGGUGGAGGAGGUAGCGAUGACUAUACGACUGAUGCUAGUACAUCAUCUGAUUGUGCUGAAAUUGUGACCCGUUCACAGGAUUCAGAGAGUACAGAUGUGAUCAGAUUUGUGGAGAAAACUUCAGAAAAUUAUGGUGCUUACCACGUGAGUCACUUAAUUUUAGAAGAGAUUGCUAGUAGAUGCAUUUUUUUUCAGGAUUCUAAUGCUAAAUUUUUGGACUUGGAGAAGUUGACUAGGCAAUGGGGGAAGGAAAGAACUCCAGAAUGCAGUCUUUUUCUCGCAGAGCUAUAUUAUGACUUUGGGCUACGGUCUCCAGACUCAUCAACAUCUGAAUACAUGUCAGAGGCAUCAUAUCAUAUUUGUAAAGUUAUUGAAUGUGUAGCACUGGAGUGUCCCCUUCAAAGUCUUGCUGUGGCUUCACAUGAUAAUCUCUCUUCAAGGAAGAGCUUGUCGGACCCUUGUAAAAUUGCAGUUGACAACAGUCAUCCGUUGAGCAAUGACUUUCCUUUCUGGGUACGUUUUUUCUGGUUAAGUGGACGCCUUUCGAUGGUGGAUGGCAACAAAGCAAAAGCUCAAGCAGAGUUUUCUACUUCUCUGUCGCUGUUGGUCAAUAAGGAGAACAAGAAUGAGUCUACUAGUUCUAUUUGCUUGCCCCACUGCAAGGUCAUUCACAAGCUUACUGUUGAUAGGAUUCUCAGUGAAAUUAAUCUAUUAGAGGUUGACUUCUUGAUGAAGAAGACUGUACACGAAAUGAUUGGGAAAAAUAUGUAUUCAGAGUGUGUAGAUAUGCUUGUUCCCCUUUUAUUCUCUGCUAAAGAUGUCCAUCUUGAUGUGGGGAAUGUUUCCGGGCUAGAUGAAGGAUUUACCAAUGUUGAGCUAUCUGCAAUAGAUGCUUUGAUCAAGGCAUGUGAACAAGCUAUGUCAAUGGAUAUUGAGGUUUAUUUGAAGUGUCACAGAAGGAAACUACAAAUACUGAUAUCUGCCGCUGGUCUAGGAGACUAUCCUCCUUCAAUUAAAAGUCAUGGCUUGAAUGUCUUCUCUUCCUCUGAAACAGAAGCAAAGGACAGCGCAUGCAUCUACUGGAACCACGUUGUUGCUGAAGAAGUCAAGGCAAUUUCUGGAUGUACCUCACGGAUAAAGAGCAUGAUUCCAUGCGAUCAUUUGGUAGGUCAAUUCAAAAUUUCAAAGUUAAUGUUUCUAAGGCCACUGUUCAACUUUCAGAAGAUCUUAAAUUUGCUAGUUAUUCAGAUAUGGGUAAUUGUUAUAUAUGUUGUUUGUUCAUUGACGUAUCUGCUCAUGUCUAUUGAUGCACCUUUUCUGGGCAAGCUAAUAGAGGAAUUUGUCAAUAUCCCCCUGUGGUUUUAUAUUCUGUUGGUGGUACAUAUGGCUAGUAAAGCUCAUGGAACUUAUCCUACGCUCUUCUAUGCUUUGCAUAAAUCACUUUCUUGUUGAUGAGGUCAAUCUUAUGUACUAAGAGAUUAGAAAUCACUUUUAUGUGUCAUGAACUCAUGAGGUUGGCGGUCCAGUACUUCUGUGUAUCUACUGGUUUUCAAUGAAGCAUCAGGGUUCAGUUACUUUUUUCUAGAUAUGUAAUUGGAUGAACAUUUACGAAAACCUGCUACGUUAAGCAUCAGGGUUCAGUUACUUUUUCUAGAUAUGUAAUUGUGUGAACAUUUAUGAAAAUCUGCAACCUUGCAAGUUCUAAGUUAGACCAAACGCUGCUGUGCUAGGUUUGAUAAAGCCUCUGACAUUGUGUUUGAUGUUUGUUCGUUCUAAAUGAUAAAUCUAUUUGCCUCGUCACAAGCUUGGCAAUGCAAAGAAAAGUAGACUUGUUUUCUUUAUUAGUGCUUUGACCUCCAAGAAUGCCAUAAUGCUAGGCUGUCAGUAGCUUUGUUACAGCAUUUACACUUUUCUGUAAUGGCAAAUUAUUUUGCUCUGAACCAUGCUUUGGUCCAAUUAUGAUGCUUAAUAUAUCUUGUCAGACUUUUCUUCUCGCAUAAUGUAGUUUUGAGUCUUUUACUUGUUGGAGAAAAUAGAAGGUUUGUGCAGUUUUUAUUUAUUUUUGGACAAGUUGGAUAUAAUCGAUGCCAUUACAUCGCUAUAUUCAUUUACAGUGAGUGAUAAUUUGGGUUUCUUGCAGAAUGGUGUUAUAGGUCCAAUGAAAGUUAUCAAGGAUAUCCAGUCUAUCUUGCUAGUACUUAUGUGCAAUGUUGCAAAUAAGUACCUUUGUAAGAAAUCAUCUGGACUUGGGAUUUCAGACGAAAAUUUGCAGGGACAGAUAUGCUACUUUGUAGAUGCAGCUAUUGCAUUCUGUAAACUCCAGCACCUUAGCCCUACUGUUCCUAUCAAAACUCAGGUGUGGCAUAAAUCCUGUUUUUUGAAAAUGUUAACUCUUACUUCUCAUGGCCCCAUAUAUUGCUUUAAGUUUUUUGAUGUCAUAUUAUGAAUUUAUUUCAUGUUAAUAUAGAGAAUUGGCAUAUAUUUUGUUAUCAGACAGAGUUGAUUGUUGCUGUGCAUGACAUGCUUGCUGAGUUUGAACUCUGCUGUGCCCAUGGAAAUGAUGACGAGGAGGGGGGGACAUUUUUGAAGUUUGCCAUAAAGCACCUGUUAGCCUUGGAUAUGAAGCUUAAAUCUAAUUGUCAAAACCAAAGCAAGGCUGAGAAUCAAGUCCAAAGUUCUGGUCAGAUAUCCCCUGUUUUUCAGAUUGAUGGUUCUGUUAAUGAAGCAAAGAUUAUUGAACAGGCUACAGAUGUGGAUCAUACAGAUGAAAUCAGUACACCAGAGAAGGAUGCUACUGAAGGGAACUAUUCAGAAAGCUUUUGCACUCAGGAACGUCUAAAGAAAGAGGAGACAGGAGUAGAAUGUGAUAGAAACGUGGGUGCUAGGCCAAAUAGCGUGUUCCUUGAGAGACAAAAAGAAAAAGAAGACACUCAAUCUAUAGAAAGUGGAAAAGAAAUGACAGAGGAUGAAAGAGAAGAAUUAGAACUGGGAAUUGAUAAUGCUUUGGAUCAGUGCUUUUACUGUUUGUAUGGUUUGAAUCUUAGAUCUGACUCAUCUUAUGAAGAUGAUUUAGCCAUACACAAAAACACUAGCCGGGGAGACUAUCAGACAAAGGAACAGUGUGCUGAUGUUUUCCAAUACAUACUGCCUUAUGCCAAAGCUUCAUCAGUAAGUAAAUAAUGACCAGUCUUUUUCCUCCCUUGCAUUUCUUUUGAACUUGUGAUCAUUGUGUUAUUCAUUCAAAACUAUGUUGCUAAUUAGUUUUCUGUGUCUGUUAGCGAACCGGUCUUAUUAAAAUUCGGAGAGUACUAAGAGCUAUACGGAAGCACUUUCCGCAGCCUCCUGAUCAUGUUUUGGUGGGAAAUGCAAUAGAUAAAAUCUUAGAUGAUCCUGACUUAUGUGAAGAUAAACUGUCAGAAGAAGCUGGAUGUGAUGGCUUUCUGGAUUCAGUUAUCAAGACAGUAUUUUCUGAUCCUGGAAGCCUCAAACAACAGCAAGCAUCGUUGGUUGUUAGGUAUUGUCUCUUUACCAAUAUUUUUUAUUAUUUUAGUUUAUGGACUUGAGGAUCUUCUAUAUAACCAGUUCCAACUUGUUUGGUAUGGGCUUGUCAUUGAUUGGCAAGAAGGGACCUGGUACUUAUGAUUACUUCAGAUUUUUGGUAUAGACUGAAUAAUAUGUUCAUUAAAUGCAGCUCUGGACCUUACCAUGAUGUGUACAGCAACUUGUAUUACUUUCUAGCUUUGUCUGAAGAAAUGAGUGCAACAGAUAAAUGGGCAGGUUUUGUAUUAACCAAGGAAGGGGAAGAGUUUGUUGAGCAAAAUGCAAAACUCUUUAAGUAUGAUUUACUGUACAAUCCCCUACGCUUUGAGAGUUGGCAGCGGCUAGCAAAUAUAUAUGAUGAGGUGACUUUCCUUUGUUGUGUAAUCUUUUGGGUUGGCUUAUGCAUUGAGAAAAUAAAAAAGAACAUUAGUUCCACAUUAAACAUUCAUUUAUUGCUUUCAAAAUACUACUUGUGUGUGCAGGAGGUGGACUUACUAUUAAAUGAUGGAAGUAAGCAAAUAAAUGUUUUAGGAUGGAGGAAGAAUCCUACUUUACCUCAGAGGGUUGAAAAAAGUAGGAGGAGGAGCAGGCGAUGCUUAUUGAUGACUUUGGCUCUUGCAAAAACAGCAAUUCAACAGGUUAUGCUCCAGUUUGAUGAUGCUUGUUCAAUUUGGUGCCUUUUUUCUUGCUGCGUAUACUAGUAUAGGGAACUAGAGUGUUGAUGGCAAACAACUAUUUUCUGUUGGAGAUGUCUUCAUGAUAUGGUUUAAAGGUUUGACCUCUUUUUAUUUAUUUAUUUAUUUACGCAAGUUAUGAUCCAAAAUCAAUGAUCUCAUGGAGCUGACUAGGAAAGAUGAGAAUAUAGGUUGCAUCUUCACAGGCUUUGAACUGCUUGAUCUCCUGUGGUUGUUGAAUCUUGCUUGUGAAAUUUGUUACUAUUACAAAUCAGAAAUAGUGAAUGAGUUGGUAUUACACAUAUGUGCCUCUGCUGCUUGAUUGAAUCUUUUAGUUGUCAACUAUAUUACAUGGCUGAAGCCACUUUUAUUGCUUAUGUUGGGUUCCAGGGUGAGAUACAUGAAUUGUUAGCACUAGUGUACUACGAUGGUGUUCAGAAUGUUGUACCAUUUUAUGACCAGAGAUCUAUGAUACCCUCGAAGGAUGCAGUUUGGAUGAUGUUCUGUCAGAACUCAAUGAGACAUUUCAAGAAGGCCUUUGAGCAUAAGUAAAUAUUUUUCACUCAGGUUUUUACAGUGCUUCUGGACUUACAGCAUUAUCUGGUCUUACAUAUUAAAAUCUAUUUCUACAGGGAAGAUUGGUCUCAUGCAUUUUAUCUGGGAAAAAUAUGUGAGAAGCUUGGCUGUUCACACGACACGUCUUUGUCAUAUUAUGCUAAGGCUAUUGCCUUGAAUCCAUCAGCUGUGGAUCCAUUCUACAGGAUGCAUGCUUCACGCCUGAAGCUACUCUGCACAUGUGGGAAACAAGAUCAAGAAGCUAUGAAGGUUUUUCCUAGCUGGUUUUUCCUAGCUGUUAUCUUUGAAUUUUCUCCAAUUCUUUUCUCCACACCACAAAAAACCAUAUUCUACUCGACGGAAAGGACAAAAAUGUGCAAUAUAGAAGGAGCUGAGUACAAACUAAGCCUAGUGCAUUAAAGCCCCACGCGUCGACAUAAGCUAAUAGGAAGACUGGCAGAUAAAAUUCAUACAUACAGGCCUUUUAAAAUCGGCUUCUUCCUUACUUAUCAUGUUAUUUGAUUGAUCAACUAUUUUAUUUGUUUCUUAGUAUCAUCCCUGUGGAGUGAUACACACAAACACAUGUAUAUUUGUAUGUAUGAUGCUGAAUAGCUCUGCGUUUUCUUUAGGUUGUUGCAGCAUAUUCUUUUAUGGAGUCAACAAAGCAAACCAUAAUGAGUACUCUUGACAUAGUUGGUGGUGAAAUUUUGGAACCAUCAAUGCAUAGCGAGAAAAGAAACUUAGAUGACAACUGUGCCGGUAAUAUGGUGGAAGUUGCCAAGUUGGAAGAGGUGUGGCAUAUGCUUUACAAUGAUUGCCUUUCUGCACUUGAAAUCUGUGUUGAAGGAGAACUCAAGCAUUUUCACAAGGCCAGAUAUAUGCUCGCUCAAGGGCUGUAUAGAAGGGGGGGCAGUGGGGAUCUGGAUAAGGCAAGGGAGGAGAUUUCCUUCUGCUUUAAGUCAUCUCGUUCUUCAUUUACGAUAAACAUGUGGGAGAUUGACAGUAUGGUAAAGAAAGGAAGGUACAGCUUUCGUCUUUUUCUCAUUUCUCAAACUACUUCUCAAGGAUAUUUGAAAACAAUGUAAUUUACUUCUUUCUUUUCCUUAAUUUGGCAAGUCAAGAGAAUUUUGUUGUCACAUAAUUUUAAGCUAAUUGAAUUUUUAUAUACGCAAGAAAUUUUUACCAACAUAUAUAGGCCUAUUAGAAUAAGAAAGCAGGGACAUGUUUUUAGAUUUCUUCACUAAAUAUGACUAGCAUAAAAUUCUCUGAAAACUGAUUGGAUAUUAGCAUAAUGGAAUAGCUCAUUUUCCCUUGAAAUUUGAAGCCUUGUAUAUGAUUUUACAUACAAGUAUCUCAAUCUUGGCCAUGUGCUUCUUUGAUUUACAGGCGCAAAACACCAAGUGUUUCUGUAAAUAGGAAACCUCUGGAAGUUAACCUAGCAGAAAGUUCUAGAAAGUUUAUCACUUGCAUCAGGAAGUACAUAUUGUUCUAUCUGAAAUUAUUGGAGGAGACGGGAGAUGUCUCUACGUUGGAUCGGGCUCAUGUUUCUCUUCGCUCAGAUAAGAGGGUAUCACCAUUUGAAUGAGUUUGGAUUUUUGCCUAUUUUUUGUCAAUUUUUGAUGUGGUUAAGUGGUUUAUACAAGGUGUUCUUUUUGAGCUACAUCCUUGAUACUUCUUUUAGAUUUGAAGCAAAAUUUUUGUGUCAGAAACUCUGUGAAAUAGUAAAAUCUGUGCUAUGUGAAUAUUGGCAUAUUGUUUCAUUAUUCUUGUUUUAGUAAGUAAAUGAAAUUAGUAGUGGCUUUUGUUGUUCAUUUGAUGUCAGAUGCAUGAUCUGUCACACUACUGUUUAAAGCUGCCUAGAUGGCUUUGAAUUUUUUUUUUUAAAUUAUUUUUUUAUAGUAUAAGUGGGAGGUCUCAAAACCCAGGACCUCUCACUUACAUUCCCUCCCCCGUACCACCCAACCCAUCCCUCUCCGUUGGCUUUGAAAGUUGUUUACUCUGGGAAGAAAUUGUCAUGUCAAAGCAUUGAAAAGAAAAAUUUGUCUUGAAAAAGUUAUUCCCGAGUAUUUAGGAGGAAACCAUAAGGUCUAAGCAAAUAAGAAAGCUUCAAAACUGUUUUUAGGCAAAAUCAACAACAGAGAACAGGUCCAUACGCAUGGGACAAUCAAACAAAUAAGCACGAAUGAGAUGCGGCCACAUAUUCAUCAUGCUUGAGCAAUGUGAGGAGAAAAGGACAGUUAUGAAAUUAUGUUCUACCUUGCAAAGUAUGUUUGUUAGUUACACAAUCUAAACUUAAUAAGCCUUUUUACUUGUCUUUUUCUCUUAAUUUGAAAGAUUAAAAGGUCAAAGAAAGAUUGAGAAACAAUCUUCUUAGACAUGGAACUAGUGUUUAUAAUUUUGCAUGAUCUGGGUGAUAUUUGUUGUUACUAGUUUCAGAUCAGAUUUCUUUACAAUAAAUGAUAAUCUAAACUUAAUAAGCCUUUUUACUUGUCUUUUUCUCUUGAUUUGAAAGAUUAAAAGGUCAAAGAAAGAUUGAGAAACAAUCUUCUUAGACAUGGAACUAGUGUUUAUAAUUUUGCAUGAUCUGGGUGAUAUUUGUUGUUACUAGUUUCAGAUCAGAUUUCUUUACAAUAAAUGAUGAUCGUCAUUUGUCAUAGAAACACUUUGUGUUGGUGGGAUCAUAUUUAUCUUAUUUGAUUUUCAAUUCAGUUCUCUCCAUGCCUUGAGGAUAUUGUUCCGGUUGCCAUCGGGAGGUACAUCAAGACCUUAAUUUUGUCCAUCCAGCAAUCUCUCUCGUGCUCUGAUCCUACUCGUGGUGCUAUUGAACAUCUUCUGGAGAAAUUAUUUUCUCUGUUUUUAGACCAGGUCAACUUAUGGUCAGACAUAUGCAACUUGCCUGAGAUUAAGACCCCAGAAUUGACGGAGAGCUAUUUAUAUGGGUAACUUCUGUAUGAACUUUACUUUGUGUUGUGACUUUAAUAUAAUACUUUGCUUUAACAGUCUAGAUGCCUUGUUGAUUUCUGCUGGUUACUUUCAUAAAUCUAACUCAACUUCAUCCUUGUGACACCUAUCUUGACUGGUGAAAUCAAUGUACUUACACAGAUUUUGUGUUUGGCCUUUGGUGCAGAUAUCUGUAUCAAUACAUCCAAUGCUUAGAGAGAAGUGUCAAGGUAGAAGCACUUGAAGGAAUAAAUGAGAAAAUUAGGAAGCGUUUGAAGAACCCAAAGUUGUCUAAUAGCAACUGUGCUAAAGUUUAUAAGAUCGUUUCUGUUGCUUGGUGUCGGUCUCUUGUUAUUAGCAUGGCUUUAAUAACACCAUUGCACUCAAGAAUUCCAAGCGAGAUCCAUGUUCCAGGUUCAUUAGGUAGUGGACUAGAAAAUAUACAGUUGCUCUGUGUAGAUUUGCAAUCAGAUGAAUUGUGGAGUUCAUCGUCUGAUGACCUAGAGCAUCUGAAGUGUCUUGAAACCAAAUGGAAUCCUUCGUUGUCUAAGAUCAAGAAUGUGAUAGUUAAGAGGGUAUCAGAUGAAGACUUGGAGACUGCUGCUAUUUUGCUCAGAUCUUCCUAUAACUUUUACAAGGAUACCUCUUGUGCAUUGCUCCCAUCUGGCAUAAAUCUUUAUACGGUGCCAUCUCAGUUAGCAACGGAGACAUAUGUCCAGCCAGGUAUAGAUGGCGUGGACAUACUUGACAUGAACACUUCAAGGAAGCUUCUUUUGUGGGCCUACACACUUUUGCAUGGAUAUUGUCCAAACCUUUCAGUCGUCAUUAAGUACUGUGAAGAAAAUGUUAAGGUAUGCAAGUAGAUUAUAGUUUUUAUGUCAGCAUCAUAGAUUUGCCAGUCAAAUGGUGAUUAUCUCAGUGAAAAGAGUAUGCAGAAAAAGCUUGUUGGAUGUGGAUAGAAUGCAGGAGGGAAAAGGAGGAACUUUCAUGAGUCUCAUUCUUUCUAAAAUAGCAGAGAAGAUCUCUGGGCUAGCUGGUUUGUAAAAUGUGUUUGGUUGACUAGAAAGGUUCUUCUCUUUUUUCACUUACCGCAUUACCCAAUUUCCGCAAAUUCCUUCCUCUCCAAGAACCACCACCAACCAAACCCCACCUCUCCCAAAAAAAAAAAAAGAAGCCCUUUUUCAAGGUAAGUUAUCUUACCUUUUAAAAACACAUUGAUUUUUAAACCUCCCCCUUUCCUUCAGAAUGUGGUAGGCGUUGAACUCUGCAAACUGACCCUGCCUCUCCCCCAAAAGAAAAGAAAAAAUGUUUUCAACGUAAGUUAGCUUGCCUUUCAAAAACCCAUUGAUUUUUGAACCUCCCCCUUUCCUUCAGAAUGUUGUAGGCAUUGAAGAAUGUGUGUGGCAAUUUGGAGUUGAGUCCCAUUUUAUCUUUUAUUUUGUCACGCUAACUUUGGGGGUCCUGUAGGAUAUCCUGUCUGAGAAGUAAAACAUAAAAAUAAAACAGAUUUGAGAAGGGUGAAGGUGGGAAAAGGAAAAACAAUUGCUUUGUUGGUGGCACCAGACUGAUCCAGUAUCGAUUUGUAGUGUGAAAAGAAGCAUUUCAGGGUGUUCUUUACCGAAUUUUCAGCAAAAAGUUGGAUAGUAUCAUUACAAGCUUGUGGAGCUUAUAGUUGUUGCAUUCUGGUUGUGAUUGCAGGUGAAGAUGAAAAAGGGGACUGGAACUCCAUUGACGCCUUCAAAUACAAAUGUUCCCUCGGGCUCAGCAUCUAAUACAGGUAUCUAUAAGCUCAUUAAGGGAAACUCUUAUACAUGUGUACUGAAUGAUGCUAAUUGGACUCGUAUACUUACAACUGUCUUGUAGGGGGUGGCAAAGAUGGAACUGGUAAAAGCAAUGAAGUCGAUACUUCCUCUAUCUCUUCUGCUACUGCUGCUUCCUUGCCUGAAAUAGAUACAACAACUAAAAUGGCAUCUUCUCCAUUACCUGAAAAGCUGGAGCCGAGCAAUGUUGCAUCUGCUUCUUUGCAGGGAACGGAGGCAUGUAAUUUGGCAUCCGUAUCUCCGACUGAAACAAAGAUUAUCUGCAGUGUAUCAUCUACAUCUAUGCCUGAUAGUGGGAGCACAAAUUUGCCAAAUGUUGUAUCAUCCAAUGAGAAUCAAGGGUUUCUAUCAGCUACUUCUGAUCUUCUCGAUUGUAACGUUGUUCCCACAGAAAUGAGCCGUGUGGAUAUAGAAGGUGCCUCAGAUCUGACUUCUGAGCAAUGAUUGAUUUCUCACGGGGCGGACAAAUUUUGGCCAAUUUUACGUCUGAUAACAUGAAAAUGAUUCAUUUUGGUGUAUAUAAUUUGUCUGUAGGGAAGAAAUGGGAACUGGUAAAAGGCAACAGCUUGUGAAUAUUGAUAGUAGUGUCUCUAGUGAGUUUCUUAUGUGCCCUUGUACAGCUGCAAUAAAAAGUUUCAUUGGGGUACUUCCCGGUUGAUGGUCGCAUGUUAUACAGACGCUGAUUUAAUUGUGCAUUUUCCUGCUUCUAUCUAGCAGAUGUUUAUAUUGAUAAUAAACAUUUACAUGCCCAUUGCAAACCCGAUUGCUGGAAAUUUGCUAGUAAUUUUGGAUCUGAAGUUUUCCAGGUGAAGGUGCCCACGUACAUUGGAAGGCUAAACUCAUUUGCAUGGUGCUGAUUUGAGCCAAUAAGCGGCUUUGAAGCAACAAGUAAAACACAGAAGUUGGGUAAGACAACUUGUUUUCUUUCAUGGUGAGGUUUCCUUAGGCAAACAACUACCCAACUUUGCCCAAAAGUACCACUAAAGUAGUAAAAUAGAUUGCACAAUUUUUGUAAAAUAUCCUCUGGCAUUAACAUUUCUUUUCACUCUCUGACCAAAAUUUCAUUACGAUGAUACUUUAUUAUGCAAAAUGGUACUAUAAAUCAUUAAAAUUCUAUGUAGAAGAAUUAACCGAUAGCAUGAGUUUGCUUUUCUUAUGUGGGUGUAAAUUAAUCCUUGAAUAUACAGAAAGGAAAUCUCUGUCAUUAAAAUUCUAUGUACAAAAAUUAAUCGAGAGUGCUUCUUACGUGAGUGUAAAUUAAUCCUUGAAUAUAUAGAAAGGAAAUCUAUUACUUAGAAAUGUUGUAAUUUACCGUCACCUUUAUAAGUAGAUUCAUGUAAAAAAUUAUCUAACAAAACUAAAUAUAUAAAGCUACAAAGUUAUCUCAGCUGUGAAACGGGCCAUCGGUAAUUGGACUCCAACCUCCGAAUCAGGCCAACGUCCGCCAAAACAGCCCCGAUAGACGUCUACCUAAAACAGGAACUUGCAGAGUUGAAGCUGUAAUUUUCUCGCUUUUUCAGUAAUCUGCAAAAAAUGGGAAGCAGAGCUUUCAUGGUUUUGCUAAGUCACAGAGGAGCAUACAUUAAUCCUUCUGCUAAUGCUGCCCAACUUUUCUUGACUUUCGGGCAAAGCCCAUUUUCUCCUGUGAAGAAGAAAUGUCUUGUAGAACGCAGGAAUCAUAGGACAAGCCACAACUUCUCCACCGCAGCAAACUCUAGCCUUGAGCCCCCUAAUCUUCCUCGUUUGGCUGAAACUGCUCGAAUUUCCCUCACCCCAGAUGAAGUAUUACUACUAUAUAUUGCCCUUUUCUUCCUUGUCUUCAUAUCCAUGUGUACUCGUAUAAUUGAUGACUUCGAAGUCCGUGUUUUUUCUUUAAGCAGAGUUGCAAAGGUAUAUUUUUGGAUUGUAAUCUUUAUUUUUCCCCUUCCCUUGUUGGGUGUUUACAGGUGGAAGAAUUUGCUCCUAAAAUGAAACAAGUGGUUGAUUGGUAAUGUAUCUUCUUUCUUUCUUUCUUUGGCUGUCUCCCUUUCUUAUAACUAAUAACAUAUGCAUGUAUGAUUGAAAUGUGGGAGUUUGCUGAAGAGCCUUAUAUUUAUCAUUUGUUUGCGGAACUUAAAAAUUGAAGUUUUAUGAAUACUGAUCAUAGUUUUAGGCUUCUACACUUGAAUGUCAGCCUGACUGGUGUAGUUUUGAUUUUCCCUGUGAACUUUUGUGUAUUGGUUUGCUCUAAAAUCUGAUAUGAAAUGACAUAAAAAAAAAUUGAUAUAAGUGUUUGUAAUUUACAAAAUCAGAGAUGUGGGUUUUGUUCCAAAUACAAUGCUCUUUUAUAGUAUGGUCUUGGACUGGAGUAUUUUAUCUAUGCUUCUUCAUCAUAAUUUGAGUGAAUCAAAUUAGUUUACAGACUGAUUUGCUGAAACUCGUGUAGUUCUUAGUAGCAUUCAAAUGCAGUCUAGAAGCAAGUUUUGGAUCCAGAAAGGAUCAUUCGACUGAUCUCCCUGAAUUUUUUUCACCGACAUGAAGUUGUUUUUAUAAAUCUGAUGUCAUAAAAGGGUAGUUUCAGGGUAUGAGCUAUGUUGAUGAUUGUCUCUGUGGGAUUGGUAUAGUUUUUCCUUUGUAACUAGACAGGCCAUUGCUUUGUUCUAAUUUUUAAAGGCUUUCUUGUAAUUGGAUGAUUCUUUAUGAAACAGGUUUGGGCAACUCCAAGCUAUUGAUCUUGAAAGUAUUGAGCCAGCAAUGCGAGCAGGUACUUGACAGUUUUGAAUGAAAAUCUUUAUUUGGUAGCUAGUCUAUAGUUGAAACGCUUGAUAAGGCUUACCUUUUGGUCCAAUUUUGGAACUCUAAAAAAGAGGUCAGGCUUUCUGUAACAUUAAAGAAUGAAAGUAUUUUUUUAAUCUGCUCCUUCCUUUUUAUUUCUUUCAGGCAUUAUUGUGUCUACCUCUUGUUCUACUUGAUUUAUUUAAAAUUAUUCUCAGCAUGUUCAAUUGCUUAUCAUUGAAAAUAUCUAGCAUUAGCUGAUUUGAACCCAAAAGGUGGGAGAUUUGUCAACUUAAAGUGCAGGAGACAUCGUGCUGAUAACAUGCAAUUGGAAUUUAAAUUGGCAUGUUUUCAUAUUUUUUUCAAUGUUGCUCCACCCCAGCAACCAGAAUAUUGAUAUUGCUACUGAUGAUCCUUUCUUGCUUUGACAAUCUGUCAUAUAAGUGAAUAAGAAUAUAAGCACGAACAAGACAUGCCUUCUUGGUUUCAUCUACUGCUAUUGUCCUUUGACUGCAGAUUUUAUACUUUAGUUACAGAUUCAUUUGUUGGAAAUAUGUUGAACUGCAGAUACUGAAGAUGACAAUUCACGUGAUGAUUUACCUCAAAUUUUUGAGAAUCGGUUGGUAUCAGGAAUAUCUGUGAUCUACUACUGUUCAAAGUAGCAUUGCAUCUCUGUCUGCAAUUAUAAGAAUCAUCACUUAAUCUUAGAUGAACACACGUUCUCAACAGGGAAGCAAUAAUAAAAGCUAUGCCAAGCUAUGAGGAACCUUAUAUCAAAGUUCCAAAGGUCUUGAACAAGGAGUAGAACUCUACUGGUGUGUUUUCCUCCUCUCUUAAGUGUUACUUGAAUAUACUAAGGUUGCUUAUGAAGAACUUCUUACCUCAUCUAUGUUUAGCCUCUUUGCAUUCGCACUUUGUAUUUUCUGUUUUUAUGUUUCUAUGGUCUUGUUUUUGGUUGCUCCAUGUCAAACUUCAAAAUUUACCUCUCUUGACUCUUUUGUUUUUAGGUUAAACGGGAAUUAUGAAUGGGGUGUGAUCCCAGUCAAUUUACAUACAUAAGCUUGCAUUACUGAUUUUCAAACUUACAAGUAGCAUGAGUUACAUUCCUAGUUCUUUUUUCUUGUGUUUUUAUGAUCAUUAGCCCAUGGCAUCUUGAAUUCUUUUCUAUGGUUGACUUAUACUGGAAAUACCAGUUUGAUGUACUUGCGCCAGUUGAUUAUGUAUCUGUGUAAUCAUUUGCAUUCAGUAUAUUGACAGUUUAAGUAGUUUGGUGCAUCUUUCUAGUCUCUAGGUACCUUUAUAUCACAUACUCUUAUCCCAUCUUACUGGACAGGGUUGUGGAAUGCACCAAUUAACAAAUUAUGGGUUUGUGUUGGACAGAAUACAUGAUGAAGCUGGACUGAGCUUCUAGUUUCUGACAAGAUAGUGAAACCUGUUCGGCCUCCCCAAGUACGCAAAUCUAAAUUUUAAGGAGCUGUAAAAUCCAUUUUCUGAUUCAUAGUUCUCCCAAUAAAAUAGGGGAUUGUGCUUUGUUACAGUUUUUGUAUGUUCAGAAUAUUAUAGUACGUUUGAGUUGAAAUUAUAUUUGACUGUAAAAACAUGAGAAAAUUAUUAUGAUUGACAUGCUGCUUGAAAAGAAAUGCAACAAGGACUGAAGGAAUACAACUACAACCUAAAUUUGUGGACAAAAUUUGGACAACAAUGACAAUUUAAACUGACAACUUGCAUUCAGAUGAAGGUUUCGAGAUAAACAGUAUAAGCACAACAAAACAAACAAAAAAAAAAAAAAUCAUCAAAGCUCGGGUUUGGUUAAUUUGGAGCAACAGAUUGCCCUUUUCCUGAAAUUCUGGUCAUAAUUUCCUGUUACAAAAUAAUGCUAUACAUUCUUGCUUGACAGUUCAUCUACCUCCCUGAUAUUUGAUGUAUUGGAGUCUUAUCUUCUUCAAAGUUUCAAGAACACUUUUCAUGCAAGUCUUUCCUUGGGAGAUUCAGACACACAACGCAAGUCCAGUUCCAUGAUUGAUGAUAUGGACCUUUCGACUUUUCUGGUAUAGUUGUUCAUUUGGUUUCAACAAGUUAGCAUCUAUAACUUGAAGAAUCUCACUAGGCAUCAAACCUUUAACCCAACCCUUCAGGUUCAAAUACUCACCAAAUAUUUCACAGCAGGGCUAGUAGUAGUAGUGUUGGUUAUUCCUUCAACAUAUCACAGAGACAGGUCCGAGAGUCACUUCUUUCACUGUUGAGUGUUCUCCACCCUCAUUUGGUACAAACUUGACAACAAUGCAAACCUUCUUCUCUCCUCAAAACAUAUUCAGUACAGUGGCUGGUUGUACUCUACUUUUUGGUGCAGCAACCCAGUUAAGUGAAAGGACGAUUGCUCAAUUCUAUUCUUCUGUGCAUCUUGCUUUUAGAGAUUUUUUUUUUUUAUUUUUUGAACAUUAAAUCUAACCAUUAGCUAUCCAUCUUGUUUUCAGGAGAACUUUUUCUUUGAAUUCAAAAUCAAAUAUUUAGCAACAAGGCUAGUUAUUAUGUAUACUUUAUUAUUUCCCUCCAAUUUCAUCAAUAUCUAUACAAUAUUUAUGCUAUAUAUAAAUGGAGAGCAGUAGUGGUUGGUAUAAAUAUUUUCUGUCGUUUUUCAAACUUUCAAUUUUGCCCCUACAUUUUUUUUUACCCUAAUCACCUGAUCACAUUUCUUGACACAACCGCUCAUAACUACUCCAAGUAUUGCAACUACCAAAUAAUCUAUUUUUUAAUUGAAGAAAAAAUUACCUAUAAAUUGAAGGUUGUUAAUGAAAAAUUCGUAUAAAAUUUAUUAGUGUAAAAAUAAAAUUCACAAAGUCUAAAUUGCACACACAUUGGGCGUGCCUUUAACAUGACUAUAAAUUGAUCAAUUUUAAUAUUUCACAAUAGCCAGUUUUACAGCAAGUUGACGAAUGCAACGCCAAACAAUAGAAUAAACAAACCUUCAGACUUGGUUCUUUGGAGGUAACUUCAUCCAAACUUUGAGGAUGCUAAUUGGCUCGAGUACAACCUCGACUCCAUUUCCAUGGGCUUCACCCUUGUGCUAUGCACUAACAACCCCUACCUGUUUCUGUUGUACUGACACCUGCGAUUACUGCCAUGAUCAUACUCCAAUCAAGCUACAUCUCUGCACUUCCUGUGUUCUUAAUCUGAUCCAUAGAUUUGCAGCAUGGUACCAACGCUGUUCAAGGAAGUUGUACAGUAUCUUCAAGUGAGCAUGGAAUGAGGCAUGAUCUUACAAGUUACGGUAGGCAAAUAUGUUCGCAGGAUUCCUCACCAACAACAAACUGCUCUCAGUGACUAAAUCUCGUCCACCUCAAAGAGUACAGUAGAAAGGCUAUACAUGUAGCCGUCAGAUCUUAGAUGAUCCAUGAACUGAUCAAGCAGAUUGUAGAUUGCCCUUGAAUCUGCAUGCCUUGAAUCUGCAUGCCUUUCGUCACUCACCAUGAAUUCAUGUAUAUUGCCGCAGAUUUCAAUGGAACUAACUGCAUCAUGCUUUUUGAUACCAUUAUCAUUCAUCAAUUUUCUUAUAUUCUUCAUGUCUCCCCAUCUUUUAGCUUCAGAAUAAAUGUUUGACAUGAGCACAUAGAGCCCACAAUGACUAGCAUAUGGUUCCUGCUCCAGCAGCUGCUUUAGGACCUGCUCUGCAAUUGUGAUAUUAUGAUAAAUCCUACAAGCAUUCAAUAAAGAACUCCAAAUAACAGUGUGUGGCUUCAUUGGCAUUCUUCCUAUCAGCUUUACUGCUUCAUCCAAAAAGCCUCCACGCCCAAGAAUAUCAACCAUGCAAGCAUAAUGCUCAAUUUCACGUGGUACUCCAUACACAGAACUCAUUUUGUCAAAGUAAUACCACCCAAUGUCUGUUAGACCACUGUGACAACAAGCAGAUAAUAAGCCAAUGAAGGUGACCUUGUCAGGCCACUUUCCACCAGCUUGCAUCUCUUCAAAUAGCUGAAUGGCUUCAUGUCCAAACCCAUGAAAUGCCAGGGCUCCAAUCAUGACAUUCCAGGAGACAAUAUUCUUCUCUGGCAUCUCAUUAAAAAGAUCAAAUGCAUUUUCAAGAGAACCACAUUUUGAGAACGUAUCUAUAAGUGCAUUAUUCAAAGUAACACUAGAGUUUAUGUUGUUACAGCGGAUAUAAUCCUGAACUUUAUUCCCCAUCACCAAAUCACCAAGUUGGCAACAAGCUGAGAGAACGCUAACCAAAGUAAUCUCAUCAGGCUCCACUUUAGAGUUGCACAUUUCAAAGAAGAGAUCCAAUGCAUCCUGCAAGCAACCUUCAUGGAUACAACUUGACAUCAUUGAAUUCCAAGAAACAACAUUUUUCACGGGCAUUUGGCUAAAAAUAUCCUUGGCUCUUUCAAGGCAACCAUGUUUGGCAUAAGCAGUAAGGAGAGAGGUCCAAGAAACGACAUUUCUAUGGACCAUACGAUCAAAAAGUGUUUGUGCUGCGUGAAGGUCUCCACACUUAGCAUACAUAUCAAGAAAUGCAUUUUGUAAAACAAUAUCAACACCGAUCCCAUUUAUGACAACAUUGUGGUGAACGAACUUCCCCAACUCCAAGUUGCAAUCAUGAGAACAAACAGAAAGCAAAUACAUAAGAGUAAAAACAUCGGGUUGGAUACCUCUACCCCUCAUUUCAAGAAACAGUAAGAACGGUUGUUCGCCACAACCCACUCUCGCAUACCCACCAAUCAUCGAAUUCCAGGAAACCAAAGUCUUUUCCAUGAUUUCAUCAAACACCUUCCUGGCGGAGGCGAUAGUCCCACAGCGAACAUAUACAUUUAUAAGACCAUUUUCAACACAAACAUGAGAUUCAUAUCCUAAUUUAACAGCCAUCAGAUGAACUAAAACACCAUCUCUAUAACUCUCUUUAAUACCACAAGCCUUCAGAACAAAAGGAAACGUAAAUUCAUUUGGAAAAAUAGCCGAAACAAUCAUUUGCUUAUACAGUAUCACAGCCUUUUCUGGAUCUUCACUAUUUGCAUAACCCCGGAUUAAACUGUUAUACACGUAACGGUUUCGCUGAGGAAUUUCAUCAAACAGUAUCUGCGCAUAUUGAAUAUCACCCCAUGGUGAGAGUGCAUAGGACGCUAUGAGUUUGUUUACAGUUAAGUCACGAUGGGCUAGGCCAUGGACGAUGAUUCGGGCGUGCAGACUCUUGAUUCCUUUCACGGAUAAGCAUUUUUUGAUGAGGGAAUGGAGGGCUUGGAGCCGAGGAGAUUGAACAUUGUGAGCGAACGACGACGAAGUAGUAAGCUUACAAUUAAGGCGGGCAGCGACGGUCAAGUACCCAAGAGAUUUGAACAUAUCAGUCCCACGUCGGACUUCAAUUCUGCUUGGCUCCGAAACUUCUCCAAAGUAAUAUUCACUCCACACUCCACCCUCUGCAUCCUUGUAAUCUAAACCUUGAGAUCUCCUCCCUUUAUCUUGUAACCAUUCGAGCAGGUUUCAACCAUCAGGACUCACUGUCAAUUUCCCCGGCAUAAAAUCAGAAGCCCAAAGCCACAAUCAUGUGUCCAUUACCUCCGCCUACCCUGAAGCUCAUCCAGAGUACUCCAAAAGUUACCACCUCAUUUGCCAAGAGCACAAAUGAAUCAACCUAAUUGAAUUUUGACUCAACGAGUCGAAUUUCAAUUUAAUUUUUUAAAAUUUAAACCCGAACUCAAAAUGUAAAGUUGAAGUUCAAACUCAGGCUCUCAAGCAUAAAAAAAAAACUAUAUAAUUAUUUUUAUUUUUAAGAAAAAUAAAUAAAAUAAUAAUUUUAUUAACAAAUAAUAAAGUAUUAAAAAACAUUAUAUAUAUAAUCGCACCAACUCGCGAGCUAACGAGAUAAAUGUCUUUAAACUCGAGUUCGCCUUGAUUAACUCGAACCACUCACAAGCCGAUUCGUUUGCAACCCUAGAAGAGACUUGCUGGAACAAAAGCUAUCAGACAAUUAAGAAUCAGUUGUGAACCAGACCACAAAAAUCAAACGCUCAAGCACACCAUUGUCCAAGAAUAUCUGAUGCCACCACUUUGUUUCAACCCCAGCUGUGCGAGGGAGGAGUUAAAUCUGUUCAAACGGUACUCAAAUGGCAGGCUUGAAAUGACUCGAUAAGCAGGAGCAAUGCCAUUACAUAUAAGCACACCGCAUUGCUGACAUUCGACCAAAAAAAAAACAGCAAAUAGGGUGCGAAGAUCAAUAAUAACCACCGCAAUACAACUCUAUAUGAAUAGAUGGCACGGCAACAAAACCAUGUAUGAAUCGAUGGCCUGGAAGACAAUAAUACAAUACAUCCAUACUAAUAAAUCAUUAGCAUUAUUAAGUAGAAUGAGCGACUGUCUCUUGCUGGAAUUGAAAAGAACUAACUAGUAGAAGAAAUCUAUUCCUUGCGCAUAUCCGUUAACAUUUACAUUGCAAAAGCUACAGCUGCACAUCAAAAAUGGUCAGCUACACACAUGAUGCCAAUCUCUUUUAUCUCUCUCUUUCUAUCUACGUCAUUUUCUAAUUUCCUUUCAUUUUGCUAAAUACCUUUCUACUCCUGUAUUAAUCAUUCUAUUUCUACACUCUACACUGAGGCCACGUUAAACGAAAAUGCACCAACACGAACCGAACAAAAACUGGAUGGUGUUAACAUGUAAAAAUCAUGAUUGCCAGAACAAUUCGAAGUCAGUGCUAUACAAAGAGCGAUCUUGAAUCUCCAAAUUUGCAACAUGCCAAUUUAUAAGCUGCGACUGGAUACAUUUACACAAAACCAAAGCAAAAGGAAAUAUCCACCAUUCACUUUCAUCCCUGCAUCCACAGCAAUUAAGGAGACAACUUUAGAACAUGCAUUUGCUGUUCAAAAUCGCACUAACUCCUUAAAUGAAAUUAUUGAGCACUGCCAAUGAAUUCUCUUACAUGUUCCAAGGCUGAAUGUACGGAAUUUUUCUCCUUGAUUGGGUGGUGUAACGGACAUAUCCACAAACAAAGGCAACAACCUGAUACAAGAAUUCAAAUUUUAACAAAUCAUUUAUCACAUGAAUUUGUAGCUAUUUUGUUUGUGUGUGCUCGUGUGUUGGGGGUUGGGGGAGGGGGGGAAGGGGGGAGGAGAUUGGAAAUGAUUACUCACAAGGAAAACUUAAAUAAGCAUAAUGGCAGAAAUAAAGUUAAAAAAUCAGAUGAAGCAUAUAAUAACUAAAAGAUCUGCAUCAACCCCCUGCCAUUGGUGCUAAAGAACGAUUCUAGAAUAAACAUUUACAAAAAUAAGCUACUUACAACAUUUAUCAGGGAUGUGACAUUCCACAAAGCAUACAGACGGGCAAGACUGGCUGAAUGUCUUGGUCCAUGACUGAAUAGAGCAUUGAUUCCAGUAGGGAAUGGAAGUAAGAUCCCCAAUGGUAGAAUAAACAAAAAGAGGAAGACAUCGGCCAAUGAAACUGAGUACAGCUGGAGCAUAGUCAACAAAACUAAGCUGAAAUCACCUAGAAGUAGCAUUGAAAUGACCAAACCAACAAGAUCCUGCAGUAAAGGCGCAAGGCAUGUUCAGCGAGCAAAUAGCACCUUGAAUAAUAUUAACAGCACGACAUGCAACAAAUACCAUCACAGACAGCAUCUAUGCAUGCAUUUGCAGAAAGAGAGAGAGAGAGAGAGAGAGGAGCAACUACCUGGUGGCCAACAGGUUUAGUGUUAUGCAUUAGAAAAGAGAGCGCAAAAAGUAUAUCUCUUUUCUCCUCAAUUUUCUUUAAGCAGUUGACAUCUAGAAUCCCACCAUAAAUCUUCCGCCUGACAUUACUUUCACUGCUUCUACGAGUCAGACCAAAGAAUGAAUCUUCUGUUAAACUGGAUGGAACUUCCCAAUUAAUAGUGCUACCGCUGUAUCGAGAAAAAAAAAGAGAGGGGGGGGGGGUGGAGAAGAAGUUAUGCUCAAGGGAUUUGGCAAAAGGGUUGGCAAAUAAUAUCUAUAAAUUUUCCGUAACCAAGAGUAAUUCAGCUGGAAAUCUGCACGUCUAAGAAGACUACCCCAAAGCAAAUAGUAUUAGAGUUCCAGGACAAAUAAAAAUCAAACAAUUUAACACUUUUGUAAAAUUUAUCUAGCUACCUACUACUAUCGGGCUUUUCCAGCAAUGCUUCAAUGUUACCAACUGAACUUUCGGCAGAUUAUAAUACAUGCCACUAUUAGUCACUUGACUGAGAAUGUUGGUUAAACAAACUAUUGAAGUACUCCAGACUUAGUCUUAGAUGCAGCAGUCAAAACCACCGGCACCUCCCAGGCCAACCUCAUCCCAAUAGCUUUCAUUUACUUAUAUCAGGGGGACUGCAGCAUGCCCUUGCAUUGUAAAAAUUACUCUCCUUAAUUUUCCCCUUUUUUUGGCAAGAUGGGUUAAGCAAUUACUAAGAGAAAGAAAUUUAGAAACUUAACCCCCCCCCCCAAAUAUGUUUUUCUUUUAAUAAAAAAAGUAUUUAUGAGCCUAGUGGGACGACAGAGAUGGCCAUGGAAGGGGCAGUCAUCGUUGUUGCUGGAUAAGGGUGUGGUCUUUUAGUCUGGAUUCUGAAUCUCCUAGAGACGCAAGUCACAUUUUUCUCUUCGGAUGAUGUGCUUUCAUGCCUGCACUAGUUUAUUUUGUAGCUUUUUAUAUUAGCUCUGUUGACUACAGAAUUUUUUGACAAUAUCAUACCUGCAAAAGAACUAACAAUCAUGUCCACUUGGAACACCUAUUUGCAUUCUUGACUUCUGAAACAAAUACUCAUGCAACUAACAUAAUCUGCUGGAAUGGUGUAGUAUAGAACAAUACCGUAACUGAGGCCCAGUCCUAAGAGCUCCAUCAAGGUCUUGAAAAGACAAACGUCCAGUAUCUCCAUCAACAGCAUCUAACACAAGCCCAUAUUGACAAAAACCACCAGUGGUAGUCUGAAACCAAGCAAGAUCUACAUGUAUGGCAUAGAUCUUUAAAGCAGGAUUGGCAAAAGUUUCCAGCCACUUGAAAACAGGCCGAAACGUCGACCUGAGGCAACCACGACGUACUAAGCGUAAUUGGGCAUUCAAACCAGCAACAAAUCGGAACCAUGUGGUAGGUGGGACAGCCUGCAUACUAAGAAUUUUGAGAACCAUACCUUAUUUUUGUGUAGAAAAGUUUAAUGAAUAGCACAUGUGAACAAACAGUGAAAUCAGUGCCAAGCCAACUUGCUUGAAGCUAAGGAGAAAGAAAAGCUCAUGCAUUGUAUUCUAGUGUAUCAAACAUCUCAAGGCAAUCAAAAUAUCACAUCAACCAUCCGAGUAAAAACAUCUUGCCUUUCUAUUUGCAAUUGAGGUUCAUUUACCUACAUCCAGCUAUAAACCUAAGCGGUAUAACACAACAAACCUGACUCAUAAGACUAGUGGUGAUAUUGUCACUGUGAAGUGAGAAGGGAGCCAUGUAACUUCCAUCACCUCCAAACAGCAAAUACAUAGGAAACCUUUGAUGAAGACGAGGAGGUAGAUCACUUCUUUUCUCAUCCCCACCAAGAAAGAAGUCCAUAUAUGCAAGCAUUAGGUCAGAUGUAGCAGCUACCUAAAAAUUGAAAAAGCUCGAGUAUCAAUUCACAUUUAGGUUGCUCUGGACAAUGGAAAUACUUUUAAUCAGCUAAACAAGGGUUCUGCAACAUUCGCUCCAAAAACAGUACUAUGUUUUGUAGUAAUGACAAUAGCUAGCCAGGCAACAGUGCUUUAGAAAGAAAUAAUGAAUAAACAAACAUAAGAAGCUAAAAAAGGAGAACAAAUAAUACACCACAAUUCACCUGAAGAAAAGCCAAGUCUUUAUUUUUUGAGGUGGCCUUAAGAAUCAAUUACAUCCAGUUUUGGAAAAGAAAUAAAAGCAGAAUGGCUAAUCAGCUUACUAUUUCUAUUGAAUUAGUAUCAUCUGUUAUUUACAACUUUCCUAUUGUAUUUACAGAAAAAAGUCAGAAUGUGGGAAAGCAGAGAGCUAGAAACAACCAAAUGAGUCAUAUCAAAGAGCUAGUAUGCAAUUAUUUCCAUCCAGAAAGCACAUUGUGCCAGAAGUUCCCCUGAUCAAAUCUCGUAUACUUAUCCAUUACUUCACCCAGCAAUUGAAAGAAACAACGAUAAAACAGACCUAUCAACAAUUGAAAACUUUUUUUCCUCGUACUAACUUUUCCCCUUACUAUUAAUUUCUCAAAGAUUAUGACUGUGAAUUGGAAGAGCCUAUGGAUUCUGCUUCCAGUCCUGGCCAACCCCCAAAACCACCUUCCACCCUUCAUCAAUAAUAUGUAUGUCCUUUUCAUAGGCUCCUAUAGUAAAUAAUUUGCUGACACUAACAAGGUAUAAUUGAAGCUCUAAAAUAUAGUAGUAUGCUGCUAAGUCAAAAGGAAACAUCCCAAUCAAACAAGGAAACUCCCAAAAGUGAACAAAAGAGCUGACUAAUGUCCAAUUGACCACCACAAAUAAGAGCAAAUUGAAAGACAUAUCAUAAUGCACUUGAACUCCUCAAGAGACUGAACAGAAUUAUGCAAAACAUGUAUAACUACCUAAAUUCCUCUUUUCUAUUGAGCAAAAAGCUAACCUUAAGCCCUUCAUAGAGAGCACGGGACCGACAAGAACGUAAACAAGCAUGAUCAUAUUCUGAUCUCACAAACUCACGGAGACGUUGUAACUUGAUCCUACGGCGCCAUUGCUGCCACGACCAUGCAAGAGGAUAUGCAACAAUACAUAGAAUGCUAUGCACUGAUCCUUCCCACCACUGAUAUGCUGCUAUAGCAUUGAUCUCAUCUACAAAUGUGUUGAAUGCACCUUCAUACCUACAAAUUCAAUUUUCAAAUGCCAAACAAUUUCAUCAUACUUUUAGUGAGCACUAAUCUAAGAUCUAAAAGAAUGUAGAUCUAAAAAAAAUCCCAUCCACCAACUGCAAAGCCCAGAAGAGGAAAUUUCGGAAACAGAGAGAUGACAAACAUGGGUCCUCAGUAUGUAUAAACAAAUUAAUAAAACCAAGGCUUGAUCUCGGAUAUAAAUAUAUUUGGAAUGCAUUCGGACCAGAUGCAUAACUAUAAGAGAACUACAACAGGCCUUAAACUAAAACUUACACAAUUUCUUUUAUUUCUUCAGGAGGUGUAUGAGGAAGAUGCCAGGGUUCACCAAAAGUAUUAGGACCCAGAAAAUACAUUCUAUGUACGUGACUCUGUGACUCCUCAACUCUAUUCGUCUCCAAAACCUGAAAGUUUUGACAUGUAUCAGACUUUUAGUCCUUUCAAUGCUGGCUGAAAUUGUCUAGAUAUUAGAUCAGUCACAAUCUUGUUAUAGUAUUUUGAGUCCAUACAUCAGUCAUUAUAGCAAGAUAGGAUAAUGCAAUGUCAUCCAGAGAAUACCUCAUUAAGUGACUCCAGGAAUGGAAAUGAAUGAUCAAUUUGGGAGCCAUGCCGUGUGGGCCCAGGACCUGGUAAUUCAUCAACCCCAACAAACUUCAUUCGUGCAACGCUGAGGACCAGGGCUAAUAAAAUGAGGAGACCCAAUAGGAGAAGACCAAAAAGCCAAGGCCCUCCAAAUGUGUAUAUCAACUCCUCAAGGGCAGUGUAACAGUGAGGCAUGUGAUACCUCUCUGAAAGACAUUGAUAUGGACAAGGUGUUUCAGUAAUGCCGCCUGCAGUAGGGAUGUGGUGAAACAUUACAUUAGCACAAAAAUUAAAAGAUCAACCUCACUGCCACAACCAAAUGUUCGCUUAAACACCUUUACCUAGAAGCAAAAUGAGGGAUACAUUUACAGUCCUACCCUCUUUAUAAAACUCUUAAGACUUAUUUUGAAAAAGAAAAAAAACUCCAAUAAUACAUUCCCUAAACUGAAAUAUUUGCAUCUAUACGCAUUCGCAAGCAUUAAAUAUGUUCCACUAGAAUUAACAAAGCCAACAAAAUCAAGACUCACUGGUGAAACAGCUCCACCCUCCAUUGCGAAAAGACAGUAUAUUUACAGGAACAUAAAUUUUAUGAAUGGGGAGAGAUGUCAGUAGAUCAUGUUUUGCUUUUCAAAAUUUAUCCAAGUUUGCCCACAUAGGUUCCCCCUCCCCUCCCUCCCCCCACUCCCCCCCCCAGGGGCUGCCCAAAUGAGGCUGAUGAAACACGAAACCCAACAGAUAUAUAGGUUUGUUUGGAUUGCUUCAUAUUUCCCCAAUUUUAUUUGCUUGCAUCAUCUUUACAAUUUCCAAUACACCUUUUUAUCUUCCCAAUAUCUUUUUAUCUCACAUACAUCACAUCACAAAAAGUGCUACAGUAAAAAUAUCCCAAAUAAUCCCAAAUAACUUACAAUCCAAACAGACCAAAUUGCAUGCACCAUUUGAGGUUUAGGCAAAUGCAUGCACCACUCAACUGACACAAUGCAUAUAUAUAUGCCAUUGUAAGCACUGAAAAAUUCUCUGUUCUUGGGCCCACAUAAGGAAAGGUAAAAGUUGGAGGGUGUUAAGCUAAUAUCUAUUUCAGGAUAAACCAAAAUAAAAAGCAUGACGAGUUGAUGUGAGGGAGGGAGUAAAUGGUUUUGAUAAUAAAUCAUCUCCUGAAAAUCAGGCUUAUGUCUUGUGCUCCACUACAGCCAACUUUCCCCCCUAAAGUGCCUCCGGACUCUAAUUUUCUAUAGAUACUGUCCCCAAAUUCUCAGGCCAAAUGAAGAUGUAAAGUUCCAAAAUAAGUUAAAAGUCAAGAGCGAACUCCAGGAACAAAUUAGCCGCGAAAGCAAAAAACAAACACAGAGGAUCACAAUUCCCAGGCAUUGUAUAAGUACCCAUAAUUUGUCUAAUUCUCUGAAUAGCAUCAAUGGUAAUUGCAGUUAAAUUGUAUAUAAACCUAUGCAGCUCAUCAAAUGUGUUAAAAAAAAUCAAAGGCAUUAUACAAGAAAUACCUCGGACUGAAACAUAAGUAGCACGAUGAGGAAGCUCAUUCGUAGGGCAUGGGAAACAGAGAGAUCUAUCAGAUCCUGAUACAUUCUUAUAUGUGCCAGCUGGACAUUCCUGUAGAAUCACAAAAUAUGAUAUCCAUGAAUUAACCAACAAAUGGGAUGGCAGUUCCAAGAACAGAAAUGAAAUAUUUUCAGAAAGUUCUCUUUCUGCUUCAGGUUUGAACCUUUGGAGAUCAAUAUAAUAAAGAACAAAAAGGUCGAAAACCAUGUAAACAGUAUGAUGUGAGAUUCAUUAAAUAGCCAAAUCCCCCCCCCCCAAAAAAAAAAACUUUUGUUCAGUCUACAGAAAAAUAUAUACUUAGUUUCUGGGUAAUGUACACACUAAAAAGAAAUGGAAGCAACAAGUAUAAAACAUAUUUGACUCAGAAGCAAACAGAAAAUGAACGAUGGCAGAAAAAAGAAUGCUUCAAAAAAUAAUUAUGCUGACAAUAUCACAAGAAAUUACAAGAUUAACAUACCUCACAAAAUACUCCAAAAAGACCUUUUGGACAAGCUUUCCCAGUAAUGGUUCCAGCUUCCCCAGCAUUACAUUGGUCCACCCCAAUCCCACCUCUAAAGUAGAAGCACACUGGUUAAUGUACUUUGAGGCACAAUGAACUAGUAGUAAAGAAACUAAUCAAUCAUCACCUUUCACAAUUAUGAAUUAAUAAAAGAUUACAGAAAAACAAGAAUCUGAAACUACUUGAAGGCACAAUCAGCAGAUACCAAAGAAACUGGCCCUGCUGUUUUUUAAAUAAAAAGAGUCUUCAGCCACAUGAAAGAUGUCAGCAAAUGGAAAUGAAAGCUUGGUACUUACUACAUCUGAGUGGGUAUGUACAAAAGACGAUUAGACCUGAUAGUGAGAAACAUCUUGACAACAAUUUAACAGGCAACACACUAAUCAUAACUUUACCCUCAUGGAUGGAGUGGCAACUGGGUUUUUGCAGUCUCCUUGAAAAUCAAGGAUCAUCAUGGUUAGGUAUAAAGCAAAAAUUCAUGAGAAGAAGAAUCAUCAUUCAAACAGUGGGUUGCAGCAUUGAAGUGGGAGACAGAAUCAUAUAUUCGAAACAUGCAAGGCACCAAUUGCGGAAUCUUCAGUUUGGUAUUGACUUCUUGAAGCUACAUCUACCGAAGUCGAUAUUAAAAAUUUUAGAAAUUGCAGGGAAAUUAUCAGCUGCAUGCAAAUUGUGUAAGAAAAACUAUGGGCUUCAUUUUGAUAGCUUCCUAAAAUAAAUUCAAAAGAUGUCCAAACCACAAAUAAACAUCUCAGUUGCAUAGAGGUUCAGAUUGUGGGGGUUAUCCAUGCUUCACCUGCAUUUUGUUCUCGUGUCAAACUUUGUUCACCAAUUUCAUUAAUUUUCUAAGACAACAUUUUAGCAUACAUAUCUCUUUGUCUGGACCUAAACUAAAAUUAUUAAUACAUUAGCACCACAUCCUCAUGUUUUUUACGACAGUGAGGAGCAAAAUAUCUGCCAAAAGUUGGAGACAACCACCUCAUCUGGAAGUUAUAUCAGAAUACCACACAAGUCCAAUGUGGCAGCAACUAAAUUCAACGAGAGAUUGUAGAUCAUGCAUCACAAAAAAAAAUGUACAAUUACUAUUUCCACUAACCUGGCCAGGAUGCUUCCAUUUACAGUAGCUAUGGGCUGAUACAUGUCUCCAGUUGGAAUAUCUGACCAAUGGAAGUGAAUUCUCCCCCCACCACCUCCACCACCACCACCAACACUGCCAUGACCCCCAGCACUAGACAUAGCACCAGACUCACCAAGGUCCAGGGAAUGCAAAAACAGUAAGAUUGUUCCACCAGAACCUCCCCCAGGAUGGAAACUGUCUUUGCUUUUCAACUGUCCUCCAGAACCGUCUCCAUCAGCUUUAACCGAACCUUCAACAGAUAAACCUACCAGUGGAUGCUCCCACGAACCCAUCACUGCAUGAAUCAAGGGGAAAAAAAUGAAUAAUCAAGGAAGCAGUGCAACACAGACGAGAUCAUUUCAACAUUCAGAAAGCCAUGCAUAAACUUCAAAGACACAUAUUUCAAUGAAAUUGUCAGCAGUAUAAGCUGUUCAUUUCUCCACUCACAAGAAAUUACAGAUUUAAAAGAUCUUCAUUAAACAAAUCAGAAGGAAAAUUUUAAAAAUAAAUAAAUAAAUACUUGAAAAAUGACAAGUAAUAGUCUAUUGACGAAGCUACCAAAAACUAUAGAUGGUUUAUUAAGCUUGCAAAUUUGCAGAGAGACCGAAACGAUUAAUUCAUGAGGCCUGCAAAUGGCAAGAAUCUCCAUCUCAACACAAAUGCAUUAUUAAGCUUGCAAAUGGCAAGUACCUCCUUAACUUACUCAUAGUACCAGGUUUCAAAGAAGAAAGAGAUGGGUACUUUCCACCUCCCUGCGAUUCAGUAGCAGACCGUGUAAUAGAAGCAAAUACAAUCAGAAUCUUAAAGUUCACAACAAAUGUAACAUUUAAAACAAAUAAAAAAACUUCACUGGGUAAUUUUCAAAAUAUGGUCUAAAUAGGAAACACAUUUGAAAGGUUAUAUGGACUAAUUUGCAACAUUGAGAACAAGAAUACAAUCCAGCAAGAAAAAAUGAGCAAGUUCUAAAACCAAAAGUUAUGGAAACAUGUAGAUGUAGAUGCCGACAAUGAAACUGAAGUACUUUUAGCUUUACAAUAGUUUAAAUAUAAAAAAUCACUGUUAUUCAAGCAAAACAUACAUUUUACUCAAACUCUGUUAAUGAAAAUUUCUGUAAAUAUAACUAUCAGGUUAAUGGCAUAAUUCUUACCCAAGAUCAACACACAAAACUAACUCCAAUGCUGCUGCAAGUAAAAUACCUAAUUCCUAAUGGGAGAAAAGUCCUAGGAUGUACACAAUGAACCAAACAAACUAUGACUAGAAAAACAGGUUGAGUUCAGCAAUAUGUUUAAGCAUCCUGUGCAGCAGGAAAAUCUGACAAGACCCCUUUCUUCAUUCAGCUAUAUGGAGACUACAGAUUUCCUGGAAGGAACACUUAAUGCUUGGGUAACCAUCUCCCAAAUUUACAAAGUAUAUCCAUUAAAGUAUUAAUUGUCUCAUGUGAUGUUUCUAACAGUACACACAAUUGCUUAGAUUAGUCUCCAAAGUGAGACAAUCACAAUUUGAACUCAAUUAAAUACCAAGAAGCUAAGAGCCAAGAAAACCAGUUAUGCCCACAAGUCAGAAUUCAAAUACUGUCAUCAUUUUUUGACAGCAUGCUUCCAAUUUGGUUAGACAAAAUUUGAAAUUUUUAACGCAGUAUGACCUUCUGGUUCCUGUUGGCUCAUUUUUUAAAUAAAAAUGAAAGAGUUUCCCAAAGUGCUACAACAUCAACAUUUGGACCAAAGACAGUCCACUUUAGAGAGAUGAGCUGACCUAAAAUGCCACCACCAGCAUUUGCACUAGUUAGGCUUUCAUUUCCACUCCCACUUCCCAGCUCACAAGGUAAAUUAGUAUCCCCAUAUGACAUACCCCCCUCAAUGCAGCUAUUAUUGAAGCAUCCCAUUCCACCUCUACCACCAUGCCCACCACCACUGCCAAUACCACUAUCUGAAAAUGUCCCUUGUCCCACACCUCCAAUGCAACCUGAGGAACAAAAAACAUCACUGGUAAGGCCCUGGAACAAUAAUAAACCACAUGUAUGCCAAAUUCGCAAGGUUUUGAAAACAGAUUCAUUUUCAUGCUAAAUACAGAUGACGAAGGGCCACGCCAAUCACACUCAAAUGUUAAAUAAUGGCCACCUGAUGGCAAGGUAGGAGAUACACUUUGAAUAUGGUAAUUAAAAAGGAACUCAGAUGCAAUUAUACCCAUCCCAGUUGUGCUUAUUGUUCCAGAAGAAGGAACACUAAUAGUUCUGGCUCUAUGGAAAUGAACAACAGAUCCUAUCACGAGGCCUUCAACAAGGAUAUCUUCAACUCGGCAAAUCUGCAGAGACAAACCAACUUGAGACCUCACGGAAGUGAAAAGAACUAUAUCCCAAUAGAAUGCAGAACAAGAAAAACUCCACCUGAAGAGUGAAAGACAGUGAAGAGUUCACAUUGCAAUCUUCGGGUGGAUGGAGGAGUUCAACUGGACAAUCAUUCUGAUCACAAUGCAACUUUGGUGUCCUAUAAAAGAACAACACAAAUAUAGAUUAAAAUAGUUGCAUAUUUGAGAUAUUAUGCAACAAUUAUUCAACUUACACAGCUUCAGUUGAGGCAUUCUCUAAAGGACCACGUAAAACAGAUCCAGGACCAACCUGUAUCCAGAAACAGAAAAGUCAAAGGAGUCAACUGAUAUUGUAUAAAGUAUUUUGUACACACUUCUGGAAAAAACUACAAUGCAACUUUAGAGUUAAGCACAGAUAUUAGCAGUAUAUAAUAGUUUAACCAAAAAAAAGAGCAAUGCAUCCUUCAACUUACUUUGAUUGUGCAUAAUUAUGCAAGAGUAGAAACCUUUUUGUAGUCAAACACGUAUUUAAGCGAGAGGCAUAGUCACAUAGAUAGAUGUUUGCAUGCAUGUGUUUAUACACAAACGCAUGAGAGAGAGAGAGAGAGAAAACUAACAAAAUAGCAUACAAUUCCAACUUUGACUAAACCAGGGAAAAGAGUAGAAUAGCAACCUGAAAGGCUUAAAACCAAACAAAUGAGCCACGCAGUAUUUGGAUCUAACCAAACAUCUUGUUCUCACCAUAGGCACUACUUUUUUUUUAAAUAACUUUACGUAAAACCAUCCAACAUAUUCAAUCUCAUGGAUGCUGAAGGUAAUGAAUGAAUAGAAAUAUCAUGCCACAAAUUGCUUACAUGUAUACUAUAAAACAACGACAAAACCAGGCGUUCUGCUUCAAUGCAAUCUCCUGGUCCAGACAAAUUUAACAAACCUUGCCCGUGCACCCCUAGAUUAGCAUUGGAGUGAAUAAUAGAUGACUCCUGUUAUGGAAGCCAGGAAGAGGGAAAUUAAGAAAAGGUCAAACAAGUCAUGAGGAUCCAAAGCAAGACGGCAUACCAGUAAACUGAAGUAGAAUAACUAGAGCACCUUAAGAACAAUAAGAUUACUAGCUUCAAGCAUUGAGGUUUCAACAUUUUCAUCUCCUUCACCAUCAAUUAGCAUUCUCGAAUUCCACAUCAGAAACAUUUUAACAGACAUACGAAGAGCCCCAAAAACCUGAAAGGCCAAAAAAAGGCGAUCAUACAAGGCUACCUACCAAAUUAAAUAAAAGUAUUCUAGCGAGAUCAAAUUGCAAAAAGAAUAUGGCCAUGUCAACCUACAAGAGGCCACGUGCAAACAAUGCAUAAAAACUUCUGUAUUCAAGAAUAAUGAAAAAAACCAAAUUGUUAAAACAAAAAACCCAUGUUAAGAGCACAUCUAGAAUGAAUUGUACUACUCCAUCCACAUUUAUUUUGUCAUGGUUAUGAUUUUUUUCUGUUGCAUAGUCACUCUGUAAUGAUCUGAAACACAAGUAAAUAACCAUUUACCUAUAUAGACUUCCUUCAAGAUUUCUGCAGUGAAGAUCAUGAGAAAUAAACAAACACAUUACUUGAGGCUUAAUUAUGAAAAAUCACUUUUCCAACUAUUUUACCUUCAUCAAACAUAAAUUUUCCUUACUCUGUACCCAAUCAUCACCGUGACCAUAAAAUGGGUCAGCCAGUGCUUCAUCCAUCGCAACUUGGAUGUCUACUUAGAGUUUUAGGACUGUCCUUGACUUAGUUUGCACAACUAAAGAUGGGGACUACCUAAAGCUUCCUCAAGAGGGCCUAUAUGAUAUAUCACAACUCCACAUAGAACUGGUAGACUGCAGCAUGUCCUGGCAAUAGAGCUUGAAACGAAAAACAUGGACAAGAAUUCAUGCUGCAUUAAGUGCACAGAAUUUUAUAACUGCAUGCACCCGCUAAGUCUACAAGAACUUUAAACCAGUAGAAACACGACCACACAGAGAGAAAAAUGAGAAUAUAUGUCUAAAAACAACAGAUAAAGGGAGAAAAGUAGAGGAACAUGCUUCCAAAAAAUUAAUUGCAGGAGAAUCAUUUCGAAACACACCAUCUCAUCAUAUCAGUAUGAUACAACAAAGAAAACAUAAAAUGUUGCCAGUAUCCAAUGAAAAAGAAAAAGGUUACCGCUACCUUAAUAACAGAAUCACUCAUUAACAGUUCUUCUGCCAAUAUUUCAAAUUCUGACAUAGAAUAAUGUGCCAAUCCAAAGCUCAGUUCUCCACCAGACAAGAGGCUAAUUUGCCCUUGGACCUAAUACAUAAGAAUUACAGAUACAUCAAGUACUUGAAUAAUUCAAAGGAAAAAAGCAGAAUAAUGUACUGAAUAUCCACUGACAGUCAAUGCAUUAGCUUCAAUUCCAAAAGCUAAUAAUAACUGAAAAUAAUCAUAUCUGCAGAUAUAGAAAGGCACACAUGGCCUAGGACACAAAUAGCAGAACAACAUACAAAAUAUCCAAUGAGAGAACCAAUACAUUACAUUAGUUCCAAAGUAUAUAAUAGCUGAAAGUAUUCAGAUCUGCUAACACAGAAGGCACAUCACAAACAGAACAAGGCACGCGUAGGCAUGGACAUCGCUAGUGCUUGAUUUGACUUUCCACUUUUAUUUGAUGUCAAUUUGUCUCCUUAUUAUCCAAAAGAGUUUUAAGAUAAAUCUGAACAAAUAAAUAGGUUCUGACUAUGUCACUAAGAAAGUAAGAAAGACUAAAUUUAUAGACCUGAACACGACUCCAAAGCAAGGGAACAGAGGCCUUGGCCUGAUUUUGGAUGUAGAUAUUUGUCAAAAAUGGUUGAGGAAAGUCCAAAAGAAGUGUGUCUGUAUCUGUAGAUUUGUUGUAAUUGUCAAUAGUAAGACUGCGCGGAACAGCAUCAUAAAUGCUCCCCGCUGCACCAGCGUUUUCUUGGCAGCCACGACUGCUUCCUCCUGUAAGAACAGAAAUUAACUCAGCAUGCACACUAAAUCCACAUUCCACAUUUAAAGCUGGGUAAAUUUAAGGCAAUAACCAGCAAAUUAUUGUACUCAUUUGAUGUUUUAGAUCAAAACAGGAACAAACUCUCAUCCACUUGUUAUCCUAUUCAAGGCAUAGCCCAGGCUGAUGAUGACAUAUCCAAGCAAGGCCAAUUCUAAGAGACCAGAGAAUGUACAGUAGUAUUACAACCAGACCACGGAAGACCAUUGCUUUCAAAAAAGCCCAAAAUAAGCUACCAACAAACAGGUUAGUAGUAUAUGCAACAAAAAUUAUUCCCAAAAAAAGGGGAGAGAGAGUCUAUGAUAAUCCCUCAAGCUAUGUUACUUGGACUCGGCUACUGACUCCUGCCGACAUGGUUACUCUAGUGCAAAAUGAUGAGUCAGAUAUGGGUACAGCAGGGAAAAGUGAAGAGUCUGAGUAACAUAGCCCCCCAGCCUCGUUACCUCAUCAAUUUUAUGACAAAACUUCCCAACAGAUUAAUUUGGCUAUACAAAAGUUCCAAUGAAAUGAACCCCUUCUCUAAUCUCUUUUCACCUCUCACAAAUAUAGACUUGUCAUCUCUGGUAAAUACUAGAUGGCCAUAUGUGUAGAAACCUGUUGCUGUCAACAAAUAGGAUGAAGAAAAAGCCUCCCCAAUUGCUCCCUUUUUAGGGUUUACCACAACGGAUAUAAGCAAAAUAUCGAGCUAUAAACAAAUAUAUCACAGGUUCAACCUCCAAUAAUGCCCUUCAAUGCAUUCAAUUUAUCCUGAGCUUCAACUCUAAAUUAUAGUACAGAAAAAGCCAACAGGAUCCAAUUUAGAUAAUUAAGACAGAAAUAAAAGCCCCGCGUUUAGGAAAAAAGCAACUAAGGAUAGAAAGAUCUGCAACAUUAUUAUUACAGAGGUGAGUAGCAUAAAAAGGAGACUGAUUAUCUAGCAAUCAAAAAAGUGGACAUCAGAAGAAAAGUCAAAUUGCAGAUAUAGUAUUUUCCAGCACUGAAAGAACUAAUGAAACUUCAAACAAUUAUGGAUAAAGAGCAAUAUCAUGUUUGGCUUACAGCUUGGAAAACUUUUACCACAAGAAAAUCAUAUUAUGAAUCAUACCAUAUGCAAAAAUCUCCGGAUCCUCAUGGUGGCUAAAAACAUCAACAGAUACUCUUCCGCCACCUCCACCAGCAAAGCCAUUACCUCCACAUGCACUGAUAUAACCACUCCCAAUCCUAAACUUGCAAAAAUUGUUGUACUUUAGAAUAAAACUACAUUAUCAAUACUCAUGAGUACUAAAGGUGCUAAUAAAUUGAUUAUAACUCACAAAGAUAAGAAUAAUUUCAGAAACCAAUAGCAUAUAUGAGAAAGUAAUUGCAAAAAUUUUGGCUUGUGUCAUGACAGCUAAGCCACAAUCCUAUUAUUCCUAUUCAAUAAGUUGGACCCAAAAAAAAAAAAAAAAAAGCAUCAGAGAACCAAUAAAAGAUUAUUAUUCAAUAGAAUGACAUUCUCCAGCAAAUAGACAAAUAUUUUAGAUAAUUAUAUGCACAAAAGAACUCGUAAAAUGGAUAGAUAUGGACUGUGACACAAUUACAUGACAGUAAACAGACCAUGUACAAUUCUAGAUUAUUAGUGAACUCAUCCACUCUAUGAACAAGAAACAUUGUGCUUGAAACACUGAUCUAGAUCAUAUUAGCAUAUCCCUAGAACCAAAAAUCGUAUGUCAGGAACCAUGAAAUAUAAUGGGUAUGUUUGGAUUGCAAGACUUUCAAAUAAAAAUCUCAAAUUUUGUUUUGCUUGCAUCAUACACACAAUUUCCAACGACCUUUUUAUCUCACAUACAUCACAUCACAAAAAGUGCUACAGUAAUUAUUUCAAAUAACCUCCUAUCCAAACAAACCCAAUUUAUCACUACUGCAAUGCAACUGUUUAGCAGCCUUAUACAGUAACUAUAACAAGUAUUAGCAUCAACAAAGUCGUUUGAAGAUUAAGUUCUACUAGAAUUAGUAAAAACACAAAUAAAAUUGAAAAAAAUAGAACUAAGAUAAUAGGUAAAACUCAAAUUCUCAUUCCGAAUUACACUCUGUUCAAAAAAAGCAAUGGGUUUAUAGCAAAUUCUCAUUUCUCCAGGACGGACUCCAAAAAUACAAAGUAUUGCAAAAGACUCCAAACCCACUUCAUGACAGGCUGUCAGCUUGACUGGGGCAUUAGCUUAGUGUAGCUUUUGAAGGGAAGUUCCCCUCCCACAAAGAAAAUCCAGAUGCCUCCCUCUCUCCCCCUCUCAAAUAGUCUUCAGCAUGCAAUAGACCAAACCAAUUGAUACUAAUGCACAUAACAGGAGAGCUCCUAUUGAUAUUUAGUAACAUGCAGAAUACAAAUUUCCAGUAUAAAGAAAAAGGACAAUAUAUAGCGAGAACUGAAAUGGAUUUGACAAGUGGCAAUAUAAGUUUUUGCAAAUGUUGUCCAGAAAUCAACCAAGAUACACCAGUUUCAUGGUUGAACGCUUAUAUCCAGCUAUUUACCAUGCACUCGCAAAGAACCUGCAUUAGAAGAAAUUACACUUUCCUGUGCAUAUUUCACAAUGUUCUCAAUAUCUGUUUUCCACUUUUAUAUGCUAAAAGGUAUUAAACCAUAAGUAACUUCUUUUAUUUUCUACCUUAGUAUUGGGAAUCUCUAUCCCUGAAGUUCAUCUACACGUGUAUGAUUUUUUCCACUUUUCCUUGCUCUAGUUCUUAUUAAUUUGGAGAUAACAUUUGUUAUUCAUUUUUGGGAGGGCAAAAAACCCAUAUGACCACUGCACCAAUCCUAUUCCAAGAAAAAACCUUGUAAAACAAUCUCUCUACACAUCAGCAUUGCCCCAACCUAACAAAAUUCCUCAUUGUAAAUUGUAAAAAUCCAAAUCCCAGUGAAAUGCAGUAAAGGGGAACACCACAAAACUGGCCAAAAGCUUAAGCAGUUUAACAGCAGUUAGAUGCUUUCACACCACCUCAAAAACAAGACCCUAAAGUAUGUGUCAGGAUCAGUAAAAUUUCAAGGCUAUUAAUGUCAAGCUUAAGACCUAGCACUAAUCACAAUUGUCAAUUAAAAAAGACGAGACAUAGUUGACCAUUGAUACAUCGUUUUAGGUUGAUUACGACGUUACCAAUUAUGCGAACAACAUAACUUCCAAAUGGAUCUUUCAGCUUGCAAAACAAAGAAUAUUUUAUGCAUGGCCUUAUUGUUUACCUACAUAAUACCUGAGCAGUUUAUUAAUGCGAUUUGUUGUUAAGCAAUGUUAUGUAUCCUAAAUGACUCUAGAAGAAUGAGGCUGUAAAUGAAAAUGCUUGGCAUUAAAACCGUAUCAGCUCCGGUCCAAGCUUGUAACUGAGUAUUGGGUGGUUCUCAAUGGCUUCUGAUUUUCAGAAGCAAAAUCAGAAGGCAGAAAAACCUGCUAUGCUGCUUCCGAUUUUUCAGAUUUUUUGCCUCAAAAAAGGUGUGAACAGGUAUUGGAAAGCAAUUGAGAACUUUAAAAUAACAGCUUUUCCAGAAUCAAGAGCUACAAUCAGGUAUUGAAAAUCAAUUUAGAACAAAUCACUGUCCUUUAGACAAGUCCAAUAAUAAAACUCAAAACAACCCUCAAAAAAAAAAUUGAUCUUGAAGUUGACAUCCAAAAUGAUAACAAUUAUAAGCCCAUAGCUUUAGCAAGUUUAUAUUACAAAAAACCUUGCGUAGGUAAUCUCUGCUUAACUCUGCUGGGUUUACACCUGUAAAGUGAAAAAACACAAAAGACGGAAACCUGACAAUAAUUCAAAGUCUUGCAAAGGAGGGAAAAGGAAUAAGGAAAAUGUACUGUCUGUCUGAAAACUGUAUUUAAGUGCUGGAAGUGAAUGAAUCGCAAGUUUUUACAUUCAUCCUGAGCAAUAUGAUACUUUUCCGAUCAAUUGAUACACUAAGCACCAGUUCUUUUUUUUCCCACAAACCAAAAAAAAAAUCACUUAACUUUUUAAACAGAUAAAGCCAUGAAUGAAUUGUGAGUUUGUUAUAUUCAUCCAGUUCAACAUGAUACUUUUCCAAACAAAUAAUACACAAAGAACCAGUUAUUUUUUUAUAGAAACAAAAGAGAAUACCACUUAAUUUGUUGAACUGUUUAACAGUCUAGCUUUUUGUCACUCGGUAAUGUUUAAAAAAUAACUCAGACACACACACAACCUCCUCUCAUGCAGAAUGCCAAAAUAUCCCCUCUCAUACUGCCCCCCAACACCCCCCCCACCUUCUGUCUCUCAAAUACAAGAAAAAUUGUAUUAUGUUUCUGACAGUAUAUAUGACUGUUCAUCAGAACACCUUUGUUCUGAGGUCUAAUUAAAAUAAGUUCAUCAUAUGCUACUUAUUUACAUUUAUUAAUCAAAUAGCUUUCUCCUAUAAUAUUUGAUUACUCAUAUAUUAAUGGACCAACUAUGGCAUUCAAAAAGUAGAAGUCUAUUGAAAAAUAGAAAACUAAAUUAAAAGAAGAAGAAGAAGCAGAAGAAUAGCUAAUCAAGAAGAUAAAAUAAACACUAACAAUCUAAAUGAAAAGUAACGAAUAGCUAAUCAAGAAGAUAAAAUAAACACUAACAAUCUAAAUGAAAAGUAACAUUUAAAGAGAAGCUAACUGGACGUCUCAAAGAAAAUUCACAUACAGCAAUCAUUCUUAAGUUAAAUUGAAGUAUUUGCCACAUUGAUUUCUCAACUUAGGCUGCCAUAUUGGUUAACAGAAGGUUAUGGUUUCAUUUUUAUCAGCAACUUGAACUGCCAGCAUUUAAAAUAACUUCCAGAUUCCAAUGUUUCAGCUUUUAACUUUAGGCAAGAAUAUAAGCAAGUUCUCUUAGCAAGCCUAUCAACCACUGCCAACUUGUUGGAUAGAGAUCAGCAUGCCAAGGUGUUUCCAAAAGAGAAAUGCCCCCUAACCACUUAAUGUUCUUCAUUUUACUUAAAAAGCCAAUAAUCUAGCAGAGAAACCAAAUAAGCCAGAAAACAUUAAUGAUUACUACACAGUCAAGCUAAAAUCAGAGUUUCAGGUAGCGAAAAAGUUGCUUUUGCAGGCAAAUGGGAUUUACAUAGGUUGAAAAGAAUUAAAAUUAUGAUGACAACAGCAAAUAAUAAUAAUAAAUGCUUGAGUUUCAAGAAACAACAGCCUUCUACAUUCUCUUCAACCUAUGAGCAAACAAUACCAUAAUCCAAAGCUUAUAAGACACUCCAUGCUAAAACAAACUUAAUCAGCCCCAAAGAACAGGAUAUUAGUUAACAUAUAACACUUUGAAGUUUUCAUUCUUUUAACAAACUCAAGGAAAUUUGAACUUCCAACAAUGAUUUUACUCCGUCAUUCUUUGCAUGAACCACCUCCAAACAAUCCUUUUAAAUUCAAAUUGAGUGAAAUCCCAGUUUUCCUUUGAUUCCUUGUGUUCCUAAUCAACGUAAAGGAUGACAUUAUUUGUAUCAUUUACAGAAAAGGCUCAAAUGAUGACUCUAAUGAUAACAAAAGGAGUUCGGCUCACCAGUAAAAUUUAAAAACAAAAGAAGCCAAAGGAGAAAUAUGUAAACCUAAAUCACCCAGAAAACAAUGAUCCGAAGACAAAAUCCCUAAAUGAGGGUCAAGAAAAGUGCAAUAAAACAAAAUUAUAUACAAUUUUCUGUCUUCAAUUCUCAUCAGAUUCUAAGUCAAAUUCAACAAUUCCACUAAGUGCAGCAAGGAGAAACCACUUAUAUGGAUUUCCAAGUGUACUCCAAUAUUAACAACAUUCUGAAUACAAAGUAUGAAUGUGGAUGCAACUACCAAUUGAUAUACAUAAUAAAACCAUAAAACGUGGUAAAUCUACUCACAGAGUCUACACAUAUUAAGAAAACGAAAACAAGUUUUUAAAGGCCAAACGCAAGUCUACAUGCUAAGUAUUCUCUGUCUUUUCAACUCUACAAUCUAAAGUAGACGUUUCUACAAAAUCCAAUUAAAAAGGCAAAGAGGAGAAUAGUUACAUCUUAAAGGCCUUGAUGUAGAUGCUACCACCGGACCCGCCUCCUCCUUUGCUUCCUCCAUCACCACCGUCAGCGAGCAAGCUCCCAUUAACUUCCAAAAGCUUAAGCACUUUCAUUUGAAUUAUCCCACCUCCACCCCCACCAUAAUCCACCUCCCUGUUUGUUGUCCCACCUUUGCUCCCAUAGCUACAAGGAUCCUGCAAAUAUGACCACCCAUAUGCAUCCCCACCCCAUACAUCAUCUGGAAGCUUCUUCUGGUCCAACAAACAAGCCGCACCUCGUCCCCCAUAACCCCCACCAGCACCAUCCACCCCCUGGGGUGUCCCGCUCGUCUGGGGAGGAGGAUCACCGGCUAAACCAGUAGUAUUCACAACUGACCCAUUCGAAAAAGUAGCAUUAUCUGCCGUCAAAUCAAAAGUUCCAGCAAAAAUAGUCGAAUUCUGACCCAAAGUAAAGUUCCCAGAGACAUUUAUCACUAGCUCGCAACCCGGAAACAUGCAAUUAACCGUAAUAUUGGGAAGAAUAUUAAAAUUCCCCUUCCCUUGUAUAUACACGUUAUCACUGAUAUUCAAAUUAGAAACUAUAUUGCAAGUAGUAUCUAACGAACCAACUCCUCCGAGAUCAGCUUCGCAAGUCACCGACGGCGGAUGAGGAGGCGGUGGCGGUGGCGCCGGAGGUGAGUAAUCCCGGUGAAACAAGAAUGAAUCGAAGUCGCCGGAGUCGUCAUCUAAGUCAAAAUCGGCGUCUCCGCCACCGUCCUGGACUAAAGUACCAUAACCGCAGCUAGGAAUCGGAAGCAAGCCUAUUAUUAGUAUCACCACUAAGAGUAAAGUGAAAGAAAGUACAGACAUGUCAAAAGGUGAAGAAGACGCCAUUGACUGAUGAAGAUGGGAAUAUUCAUCAGAAAUGAUGGUUGGGAGAGGGAGAAAUGGAUUGCAUCGGUGGAAUUUUUUGCUCGAAAACAAAACCCACCAGAAAAGUUUAUUAGUUUUUCGUUCCAAAUGCGGUUUAACUGUUUGAUAUAUGCCGGUGCGGAUGGAAAAAAGUGGCGCUUUGGGAACGGAGAAUGCCCUAGAAAAAGGGGUUUCUGGUGAGGAGCCAAAGACAACUACUCCCUAGCGGAUUCUGCAGGGCGAAGAAAAGAGGGAGGCAGUUUUUGGGGAAAAUUGAACAUGAGGAAAGCAAAAGAGAGGGCAAUAAAGGUAAAGGGUUAAGGGGGCGACUGAUUACUGAUUAGAUAGGGGACUAGAGAAAUUGGGGAGUUGAAUAUUGGGUUAGUGGUUUAAUGAGAGGAGGGUGAAGGGGUUAAAGAUUAGACUGAGAGAUUUUGAGGUAGAAAGCAUGACUGAUCACAACAAUCACAUCCGUUAAAAACUUGGUGUUGAAUUUUAUAAAUAAUAAAUUGUGAUGACGUUUUCUUUUUUUUUGGGAUAAUUUCAGAAACUUGCCUUGAACUAUUCAUAGUAUCAGUUGGCUCCUUUGAAGUUUUUAAAAUCUCACCCACCUCUCUCAAAAUAUUUAGGCCUCGAAAAAUUCACACGUAUGAAGAGAUUAUUUAUUAAAAUAUAUUUCCUAAAAAAAAUUUCUUAACUCCCGUAUAAUUAUCUAUAAAAUUUUUCAAGGGCUCCAUCACUCACUAUAAUCCUUCUAAGUGGUUGAUUUUGACUAAAUUUAAUUUACCACGUUCUUUGUUGUCCCACCAUGAUCUCGAUAUAGAGAAAUAUGGACCAUUAUUAGAUAUCAAUUUAUUUUUCUCUAAUCUACAUAUUUUUGUUUAAAAUUUUAUUUUAUUUUUUGGUUAAGCAAUUAUUAAGAGCUAGGGUAAUGUUGUCACUUUUUGACCUGUGAUGGGAAUAUUUUAGUCUUAUAAAACUGAUAGGCGAGAUAAGUGAAAUUUUAAAAUUUUGAAUAGGAGAACUCAGUGAAAUUAUGCUCCUCAUGGGCAACUCGGUUGGUCUCAGCAAACCUCCUUAGAAGCUGGUGUCCAAUGCCCACAAGGAUUCAAGUCCUAUGGUUAUCGUGUUCGGAAGGAUGGGGCCUCUCCUCCCGGAUGGGAGUGGGAUUAGUCGGGCCCCGUAAGAAUUGGUCCGGACACCCAUUCCGUCAAAAAAAAAAAAAAACUGAGUGAUAUUAUGAAAAAUCUCGGGACAAUUUUUUGAAAUUUUGCCUUUCUUUUUUCAUCUUUGUCUCUCUUUCCCUUUCCUAUUUUUUCUUGGCUUUCUGUGGAUUCUCUUUCUUUUUUUUUUUUUAAGUUUCUUUUUUGCGUUGGAGGAAUCUGACAGGAAGGUUUGACAAUUUUUAUCAAAACGAGAAAAAGAAAAAAGCAAGAAUGUUUGAAUUGAGAUUCUUCCUCUUAUUUACAUACAUCUUAUGGUAUCUUCUUUAUAUCUUAAUCAAGGAAUAGAGAGAUUCUUUUCUUUUCUGUUCUUUUUUGUCUAAAAUAGUGCAGCGUGAUAAGUGAUAGGUUGUUUCCUUGCACAAAUGUCUCAUGUUUGUGAUUGGGGGCUGAUUCGUAAUUUAAUGAGGAGGAAGAUUAGAUUGACUCAUUGAUAUUGAGGUUGAGUGCAUGGCUGAUUGAGCCACUUUCAGUCAAAGUUUGCAAUUGUACUAAUUACAAAUUGUGAUGGCGCCCUUGUUCUAUACUUUUGUCUCUUUGUUUUGUCGGGGGAAUUUGAAUUAUGAUUUGACAUUUUUUAGAGAGAAAAAAGAGUUAAAAAAAAAUAUGAAGGAAUGACUGAGAAUGAGAGGAUUUUCAAGGGAUAUAUGCAUCCUUUUGUCUUUCUUUUUUGUCUACAAAGUAUGAUAAAGAUAAAUUACUUCUUUAUUUAUUGAUGGGAUGACUGAUGAGAUGUUUUAACUCUUUUUCUAUUUUCUUGUUUUCUUUUCUUCUGAUCAUAAGAAAUUUUCGGUAUUUUGUUAGUUCUUAAGUUCCUAAAGUAAGGAAACGGUCAAAAAUAUAACGAACAAGGAACUCAUUGAUGCAAGCCUUUCUUAUAAUUAUUAACUUAAUUUUAAGUCACGAUGUGGCCUUGUUUGGAAUGCAUUUUUCUGGAUUUUUUUGUAGAAAAAUUACAGUAACGAUUUGAUAUAUGUGAGGUGAAAAGGCGAUUGGAAAAUAUGUUUACAAAAAAUAUAGCAAUUUUGCUGUCCAAACAAGGUUGUCUAAAAUAUUAAUUAACAACCAUUUUUCAAAAUUGAAAUUCUAUGUAUAAAUGCAGAAUCCCUCAAGAGGAAAAUGUUGAGAAAGUAAAAUUAUCAAAGGAUAUCACAAAAUGAUCUGGCUUGAUCUUGUUGACAAUGCCACCCACUAUGUCAGAUCGCGAUAUAAAGAAGAUGAUAGGCCUUCGCAAAAAGGGUUGAUAUGACUCAAUUUACAGGUACUCGCCUCGACAUAUACCAUAUGUAGUUAAUUUUCUAAUAUCAUAGAUAUCUAUACUUACGAUAUAUAAAGCAGGAAACUUGACCUAAGGUUUGGAUAGCAAAUUUUUUCAAAAAAACUUUUCAGUUGCAUUACAAACACAUUUUUCAAUUUAUUUUUUUAUCUCACAUACAUCAUAUCACAAAAAAUGCUAUAAUAAUUAUUCCAAAUAAUUAUUUGGAAUAAUGCUCUAUCCAAACAAAGCCUCGAGUUUUGAUGUAAAUGUUUUUUUGUCACUUUUUGAACUUUCAUUUUUGGCCUCGUACGAUCUAAAUUUUAUCAUGAUCACAACUUAUUUCAUUAUAAGUACCAAAGCAUAGCUUUUCAAACAAACUUAUUUUCAUUAUAACUACUCAUAAACACACAACAUAAUUAUACUCUUAAAAGAAAAAAUCUUAAAAGAGCAAAAUCAUGUUCAUUAAUUAAAAAAAUAUAUAUAUGUAAAAUAAGUUCAUACAAAAAAUAAUUUAUUUCUAAAUUGCACAUACAUUGGGUGUCUCCUGUAUGCUAGUGAUAAAAAUUGCAAAUGAAUCGAAACAAAUCAAGUUUUUGGUCUAAUCGAGUUAAGCCUCGACUCAAUUUUACCAAAUUUGAGCUCAUCGAUCUCUCAAUGUAAAACUCGAGUUCGAAUUUGACAGUAAAUUUGAGCCAAGCCAAGUUGGAACUCGAGCCCACUCAUGUUUUAAAAAAAUAAUAAUUAUUAUUAUUUUAUUUUAUUUUUAAAAUAAUAAAUAAAAUAGUAUUUUUUUUCUUAACAAAUAAUAAAACAUUAGAUAUAUAUAUGUAAUUUUAUUAUUAUUAAUAUAUAUAUCUUAAUAUAAUCGAGCGACUCGCGAACUAAUGAACUAAGUUUUUCUGUGCUCGAACUCGACUCCAGUUUGAUGUUGACCAAACUCAAAUUGGAUUUUGAUCAAGCUAACUCACAAGAGGCUCGCAAGUAAUUUGACUCGUUUGCAACCCUACUAAUGACUAUAAUUGUUUUGAAAGACUGUUGGAAGAAAUUUGGGUUAGGUUAUAAAGUGGAAGGGAGUGUAAAUGAAAUAUACUAUAUUCAAAACCACUCAUUUAAUAAAAAAAAAAAAAAAGUAUCAUACUAUUAGUUGCAUAUAAACGGUUAAAAACAUUAAACUAAGUGUAGAAUUAUGUGAAAGUAACUAUACCUUAGUUUUGGACCGUCGAAUUUCCUUAAAAUAUUUGUUACGGAUAAGGCCCCGUUUAUAUCUUAUCUUUGAAGUGAAGGAUAAGAGUACAUCAAGAAGUCCUAGUUUAUAUGCUUGGCCCCUACAGUUGGCUUUGCGGGUUUAGUUUUCAAAAACAUGUGUGUUGACUAACCUAAAUCACUUGUUAGCAUUGAAUAGGAGUUCAAAAAUUCAAAAGCAGAAAUGAAUAACAAUAUAGACUAGUGCACCUAAAGCUUAUUUGGUCCAAAACAAACUCUCUUUCAUGUAUGUGGUCCAAAUUUGAAGAGCAAAUCUCUUAGGCUUUUACACUAACACCAAAUGGCAUUUAGCUCUAACGAGUAAAAACCAAAUCUUCCAGCAAAUAAAGUGCCCAUAUCCCAUUGGCAACCAUUAUUGACUUUGGCAUCCUACAUUUCAUAGGGUAACAAAACGGACAAAAGGUAUGUGACUUUGUACAUAAAAAUUUAUUCCAGUGUAAGGUUGCCAUCACUUUCGACAUUUUUAUGCGUAUGAAAACAAAAUUAUCAACAACAUUGAAACCUUCCAAAACAAAACCAGUGACUAGAUAAUUUGAUUAUUUGCCAAAUGAUUCUUUCUAUUUUGUGACUUUGACAAAGUCACAAAACCAAUUGGCUAUGAGUGAAAUGGCCCAACAUCUUUUAUAUAUAUAUAUAUAUAUGGUUGGAAAUCCUUAGAAUAUCAAUGUAGGAUAUACAACUAACACGUAAAGCUAUAAACAAGUCGAAUCGAAUCGAGUAUCUCAUGUUUGAACUCUGUUCGUUAAGCCAUUCGAUCAACGUUCGUGUUCGUACGUUAAUUUUCGAACUCCAAACAUGUGUUUGUGUUCGGCUCGUUAAGCAAAGUUUGUAUUCGUGUUCAGCUCGUUUAACAUAAACGAGCCGUUCGCAAACAUGCUUGAAAUGCUCGAAUCCAAAUUAUUUUAAGCCUUAAAUAUGUCAUGCAAAUCAUUCAUCAUUCUCAAAAACAAUUAAAGCACUAAGUGACUAAAUUCUAUUAUUUAUUAACUAUAUAACUAACAUUAACAUAAAAACAACAAAUAAAACAAAGCAAUUUGCCCUCCAAAUAUAAAAGUUCAGCCAUAAAAUUAAUCUUCAAAUUUGUCAAAUGAUAAUUAUGCCCAUGUUCGCGAACAUUCGUUAAAACUCACGAACAUGCUCGUGUUCACGAACGUUCAUUAAAACUCGCGACUAUACUCAUGUUCGCUCAAUUAUUAAUCGAACAAAAAAAUUCGUUCGAACUUGGUUCGUUUAAAAUUUCGAACGAGUCUUUCACGAACACGAACGAGUCGAAAUGAAUCGAGCUACCGAACAGCUCGGUUUGUUGAACAGCCCUCGCAAAUGUGACUUGACAAAUGGGUUUAAGCCAACACAAGAAAUCCCAAGUCACGGGUGAAAUAAAUGGGUAACAAACAAACCCAAGGCCCUGCUCCAAUACCAUGUUAAAUGACUUGGACUCUCAUCUCAAAAUCAAUUAGGUAUGAGUUGAGUGGCCUAAUAUCUUUCAUAGAAAUAUAUAUAUUUAUAUAUAUGGCUAGAAAUUCUUGGAAUAUCAAUGUGGGAUAUACAACUAACAAGGAUUAUCUAAAGAAAAGAAAAAAAAAAGCAGAAAAAACAUAUCUAAAGAGGAUGGCCCGCAUGAAACUUGUACAAAUUGGACAAGGUAAUAGGUUACUUCAAAGAUUUUGAUGGCACCUGCAGAUAUAUUAUCCUAAUGUAUCUUUAUUUUUCCCAACUCUUCUCCCUAAAAUUCUAUUUCUCUAAAAGGAAUGUAGUAUUUUCUUCUCAGUUGGAUCUACACCAAGUAAUGCAGUGAAAUGUGUCCAGCAGAGAAGGACUUUUGAUCUAGUUUCUGAGUUUUUGGAGAAAGUGAAGAAAAGCUGCUCUUUCUUCACAUAAUUAAUUAAUGCUUUAACUGUUUGAGGCCGUAUGGAGUGGGCCGGCCUGAAUUUUAGCACGAACUUACCUGGAAAUGGUUUAUUGUGGGAUUCACAAAGGUGUACACGUACUAAUGAAAACAAAAAUGUGUACUUUGUUUUGGACCACUGAUCCUCCCGAUUGUGACCAUUAAACCCCUCCAAUCAAUUAUUUGUCAUGCAAUUAUCCAAGAAGAAAAUAGACAAUUAUUCAUACUCUACGAGACGGGAUAAGUUGAUUGUGAUGUUCUACAGAAAAAUUUUUACGUUUUUCGUAAAUACGUUUCUCAGUUACUUUUUUACCUCACAUACAUUAAAUCAUUAUACUAUACAUAUAUAUUUUUUUACAAAAAGUCCUAAAAAUAGCAAUCCAAACGGGUCAGGAUUUCUCAUUUCAUUUAAAAUAAUUAUUUUAAAUUUGAUUAGUAUAGGACUAUUCAUCAAAUACUACGAGGGUAAUUCUUACAUGAAUUUGUUGGCAACAGAUGGGGAUGCAUGCUAAUAAAUUCGUAAAUUACAGCCCCAUCCCCUAAAUCCCAGACAGUACGCGCCAAAAGAUCUCACAUCAAUGGCCAUUUGUUGGAGACAAUCGCCAAAUCUGCAUGGUCCUCCUUUUCUUCAUUUCCUACGUACUUUAAUACUAAAAAUUUAAAACCCAAGUCCAACUUUAUUUUUUAGAGGAUAAGGUUCUAUCCAACCACGAAACUUUUAGGCCCUUAAAACAUCUCCACUACUAUAAAUAGUUGCCAUGAAAAGUUGCAUGUCUUAGCAUAUUUAUAGUGGUACAUAAUAAACUUAUAGUUACUUAAAAGAUAAUCUACAUAUUGACACGGAUAUUCGUUAAAAUAGGGUUCAGGUAUUAAUAUCUCGACCAAGCAAAAUUAAAUAGGAAAAGUGUAUAAAAAGUAAGACGAUAGUUGUUACGAGUACGUACCUUUACAUAAUAUAUUGAUUGAGAACGAUUUAGGUGUACAAAUAAAUGCCCAUUUAACGCCUGUGUCGGGAAAAUACUAAUUUGAAAUUUAGACAACACAAAAUCUUUUUUCUAGCUGCUUCUAGUGCUGCAUGGAAUGCUUGAGAUUCAAUAGCCAUUGCUUCUUCUUGCAGCUGAUAGGAGCGUGGUGGUGUUACUUGUCAGAUACUAGGAGGUUGAAUCUUGGCACAUUUACAGCCAAUACUGCAAACUUCACCUGUCACCCCAAAUAAUUGUACUGGUGUCACUAAUUGCUUUGUCUACCUUGUUUCCAUGUCUUAAUUGUUCCUCCACGUACUGCCUUUACAUUCACUGAUUAAAUGCACCUACUUCCGUUUGCAAUUGACUUUGCAAUUUGUGAUUCUUUUUUCUCACGUAACUGAUCAAUUGGAGUUGAAUUGAUGUAUCACUGCUAUUAAUGGAAGGCAAAAUGAAUAAAACUAAUCAUGCAAGUAUAUUAAAGAGAAUGAUGUUACUCAAGUUCAAUAACUUGAGCAAUCAAGACUAGAAAGAAAUUUAAGAUUUCUUAAUUUCAUUCUUGUUAGUAACAAUUACCAACUUUUUUAAUUUCGUCUGCUUCGUGCAUUAAUUUGCACGUACCUGCAUGCAUGCUUAAUUUGUCGACAAAUGCUUAACAACACCCAGUUAAUGACGGUUUAGAAUAUAUAUAUAUAUAUGUAUGUAUAAUAGUAAUUUAUAAAUUUUUUAGGCAGUACAAUAUUGGCAACCUUUCUAACUUCCUGGGAUUCUCUGCAUCUUUUUGGAAAGAAUGUACCGAGAAAUUCAAGGGAUUAAAGAAACACUUCUUGAUUGCAUAUAAGGUCUCAAUGAUGAUUGUUGUUACUUGUUAGGUCCUCCAAACAUAUAUAGAUAAGUACAUGUGAAGUUGACGUCUACUUUCCUCCUCGAGGCCUCCACUUUUUACGACUAAAAUCCUGCAGGACUACUGCUCAAGGAACUGAAGGCCAUGGGAACAAACAAGUUCCAAGGGCAUGUCAUGGAAGUUAGGGAAUCAACAACACCCAAAUGAACAAUCAUUUCUAGGGUACCCCAGAAAGUAGGGAAGGUCAUUCUUUCCUUUCCUUUUUCAGGGGAACAUUGAUCAAAGCUAAGAACCAAAGAUCAUGUGAUGUACUCAGUAUAAACUCACCUUGGAUCAAGAUUUUGUUAUAUUCAAUGUCUUAAUAUGUAUAUAUAAAUGUCAUAUGAAGACUCAGUAUUACUUUACACUAAUGUUUAGAUUAUCAAGACGAAGAAUUGAAUAAAUAGGUGUAUGUCAAGAUGCAUUGCACAACGAAAAUUCAGCAUUCAAGUGGAGAAAGGAAAAUGAGCAGUAAUAUCAGUUUCUGUCUGGUUUUUAAGGGGCAAUGACAUUAAAUUACACUACGUUAACACAGAAUGUUCCAAGGUGGGGCUAAGCCAAUUUUGGAGCCUGCUAAAUUUUACUAAUGCAUAUUUCCUGGCCAACAGCUUCACGCCCCAUUUCACAAACCAAGGUUCAAACCUGGUUGCUAGGAUUGAGGCAAGGAGGGAUUAUGGAGGAAGGGGGGGGGGUGUGUGGGGGUGGGAGAGGGAAAAAGAAAAAGCCUAAAUCUUGUUGAUUCCUGAAGAAUUGUACGUAUUAGUUAUAGCAGGAAGCAUACUGUCGAUUUAACAAAUGCUGAAGGAAAUACUAAGGCAAGCCUAUUGAUACACAAGAUAGAGAAUAAACAAGUUAGAAUAGGGGAGAAAACUCGCAGUUUCGGGCUAAGAGAGAUUAGUAGUAACAAAAAGCAGGGGAAGUGUAUCUGUAAUAUUCAUGUACAAGACAAACUACACAGAAAUUGCUCAAUUUUGGCAACUGCUCUUGGAAGUUGGAAUACACCAACCAAAGAUCACUUGAUGAGGAAGAAACAUCCUCUUAAUCUUUUCAGUGCAGUUCUAAUGGCUGACCAGCUUGACAAAGUUGACAGGAAUCAAGUGACUAUAUGCCAAACUUGUU
rnacentral:lncRNA from 1 species